GAGGACUUUCCGGGAGGUCACCCAUCCUAGUACUACUCUCGUCCAAGGACCCUUAACUGCGAAGUUCUGAUGGGAUCCGUUGCAUUAGUGCUGGUAUGAUCGCAUGUGUUACUACAUGCAAUGUAAUCGUAUCUAUUCUUUUUUAAAGACUUUAUGAUCCAUUUGCCGUGGGUCCCACCAGCUAUGUAGGAAAACCCAAUCUUCUUUAUAAGAGCUUUGAUACAUGCAAAAUAUUGGAAAACAAUGUCCGAACAUAUAAUUUUCCCCCAUAAUAUAGCAAAGAUCACGAAAAGGCCCGAAAAAGUACAUUUAGUUCAAAAUUUGGAGUAGAAAAAAAGGCAGUAAAAGAAUUCCAUUUUCCUUCCUCAGUGAUCGGAGAGCUCUCUUUGGACUUUCCGAAAAGGUAUCACAUGCCAAGUUUGGCCUCACGGUCUAAAAGUUAUAGAGUCAUACAUUUUUAACAAAACAAAAUAGAGAAAAACGGAAAAAAGAGGGAUGCAACACGAGGACUUUCCGGGAGGUCACCCAUCCUAGUACUACUUUCGCCCAAGCACCCUUAACUGCGGAGUUCUGAUGGGAUCCGGUGCAUUAGUGCUGGUAUGAUCGCAUGUGUUACUACAUGCAAUGUAAUCAUAUUUCUUGUUAUUUAAAGAUUUUAUGAUCCAUUUGCCGUGGGUCCCACCAGCUAUGUAGGAAUACCUUAUCUUCUUUAUAGGAGCUUUGAUACAUGCAAAAUAUUGGAAAACAAUAUCCGAACAUAUAUCUUUCCCCCCGUAAUAUAGCAAAGAUCGCGAAAAGGCCCGAAAAAGUACAUUUAGGUCAAAAUUUGGAGUAGAAAAAAAAAGCAAUAGAAGAAUUCCAUUUUCCUUCCUCAGUCAUCGGAGAGCUCUCUUUGGGCUUUCCGAAAAGGUAUCACAUGCCAAGUUUGGCCUCAUGGUCUAAAAGUUAUAGAGCCAUACAUUUUUAACAAAACAAAAUAGAGAAAAACCAAAAAAAGAGAGGGAUGCAACACGAGGACUUUCCGGGAGGUCACCCAUCCUAGUACUACUCUCGCCCAAGCACCCUUAACUGCGGAGUUCUGAUGGGAUCCAGUGCAUUAGUGCUGGUAUGAUCGCAUGUGUUACUACAUGCAAUGUAAUCGUAUCUAUUCUUUUUUAAAGAUUAUAUGAUCCAUUUGCCGUGGGUCCCACCAGCUAUGUAGGAAUACCCUAUCUUCUUUAUAAGAGCUUUGAUACAUGCAAAAUAUUGGAAAACAAUGUCCGAACAUAUAAUUUUCCCCCCGUAAUAUAGCAAAGAUCACGAAAAGGCCCAAAAAAGUACAUUUAGGUCAAAAUUUGGAGUUGAAAAAAAACAAAAAGAAGAAUUCCAUUUUCCUUCCUCAUUCAUUGGAGAGCUCUCUUUGGGCUUUCCGAAAAGGUAUCACAUGCCAUGUUUAGCCUCACGGUCUAAAAGUUAUAGAGUCAUACAUUUUUAACAAAACAAAAUAGAGAAAAACCAAAAAAACGAGGGAUGCAACACGAGGACUUUCUGGGAAGUCACCUAUCCUAGUACUACUCUCGCCCAAGCACCCUUAACUGCGGAGUUCUGAUGGGAUCCGGUGCAUUAGUGCUGGUAUGAUUGCAUGUGUUACUACAUGCAAUGUAAUCGUAUCUAAUGCUUUUAAAGACUUUAUGAUCCAUUUGCCGUGGGUCCCCACAAGCUAAGUAGGAAUACCCUAUCUUCUUUAUAAGAGUUUUCAUACAUGCAAAAUAUGGAAAACAAUGUCCGAACAUAUAUUUUCCCCCCGUAAUAUAGCAAAGAUCACGAAAAGGCCCACAAAAAGUACAUUUAGUUCAAAAUUUGGAGUAGAAAAAAAAACAAUAGAAAAGUUCCAAUUUCNNNNNNNNNNNNNNNNNNNNNNNNNNNNNNNNNNNNNNNNNNNNNNNNNNGGGUCCCACCAGCUACGUAGGAAUACCCUAUCUUGUUUAUAAGAGCUUUGAUACAUGCAAAAUAUUCGAAAACAAUGUCCGAACAUAUAAUUUUCGUCCCGUAAUAUAGCAAAGAUCACAAAAAGGCCAGAAAGAGUACAUUUACGUCAAAAUUUGGAUAGAAAAAAAACGAAUAGAAGAAUUCCAUUUUGACUUCCUCAUUCAUCGGAAAGCUCUCUUUGGGCUUUCCGAAAAGGUAUCACAUGCCAAGUUUGGAAUCACGGUUUAAAAGUUAUAGAGUCAUACAUUUUUAACAAAAAAUAAAGAGAAAACCCGAAAAAUGAGGGAUGCAACACGAGGACUUUUCGGGAGGUCACCCAUCGUAGUACUACUCUCGCCCAAGCACGCUUAACUGUAGAGUUCUGAUGGGAUCCGGUUCAUUAUUGCUGGUAUGAUCGCAUCCGUUACUACAUGCAAUGCAAUCGUAUCUAUUCUUUUUUGAAGACUUUAUGAUCCAUUUGCCGUGGGUCCCACCAGCUAUGUUGGAAUACCCUAUCUUGUUUAUAAGAGCUUUGUUACAUGCAAAAUAUUCGAAAACAAUGUCCGAACAUAUAAUAUUUGCCCCGUAAUAUAGCAAAGAUCACGAAAAGGCCAGAAAACCUAUAUUAAGUUCAAAAUUUGGAGUAGAAAAAAACCAAUAGAAGAAUUCCAUUUUCCUUCCUCACUCAUCGGAGAGCUCUCUUUGGGGCUUUCCGAAAAGGUAUCACAUGCAAAGUUUGGCCUCACAGGCUAAAAGUUAUAGAGUCGUACAUUUUUAACAAAAAAAAAAAGAGAAAAGCCGAAAAAAAGAAGGAUGCAACACAAGGACUUUCCGGGAGGUCAGCCAUCCUAAUAUUACUCUCGCCCAAGCACGCUUAACUGUAGAGUUCUGAUGGGAUCCGGUGCAUUAGUGCUGGUAUGAUCGCAUCUGUUACUACAUGCAAUGCAAUCGUAUCUAUUCUUUUUUUAAGACUUUAUGAUCCAUUUACCGUGGGUCCCACCAGCUACGUAGGAAUAACCUAUCUUAUUUAUAAGAGCUUUGAUACAUGCAAAAUAUUCGAAAACAAUGUCCGAACAUAUAAUUUUCGUCCCGUAAUAUAGCAAAGAUCACAAAAAGGCCAGAAAGAGUACAUUAAGGUCAAAAUUUUGGAGUAGAAAAAAAAACCCUUCCUCAUUCAUUAAAGAGCUCUCUUUGGCAUUUCCGAAAAGGUGUCACAUGCCAAGUUCGGCCUCACGGUCUAAAAGUUAUAGAGUCAUACAUUGUUAACAAAAAAAAAGAGAAAAACCGAUUAAAAGAGUUAUGCAACACAAGGACUUUCCUGGAGGUCACCCGUCCUAGUACUACUCUCGCCCAAGCACGCUUAAAUGCGGAGUUCUGAUGGGAUCCGGUCCAUGAGUGGUGGUAUGAUCACAUCCGUUACUACAUGCAAUGCAAUCGUAUCUAUUAUUUUUUGAAGACUUUAUGAUCCAUUUGCCGUGGGUCCCACCAGCUAUGUAGGAAUACCCUAUCUUGUUUAUAAGAGCUUUGAUACAUCCAAAAUAUUCGAAAACAAUGUUGGAACGUAUAAGUUUCGCUCAGUAAUAUAGCAAAGAUCACGAAAAGGCCACAAAAAGUACAUUAAGGUAAAAAUUUAGAGUAGGAAAAAAAAACAAUAGGAGAAUUCCAUGUUCCUUCCUCAAUCAUCGGAGAGCUCUCUUUGGGCUUUCCAAAAAGGUAUCACAUGCCAAGUUUGGCCUCACGGUCUAAAAGUUAUAGAGUCAUACAUUUUUAACAAAAAAAAAUAGAGAAAAACCAAAAAAAAGAGGGAUGCAACACGAAGACUUUCCUGGAGGUCACCCAUCCUAGUACUACUCUCGCCCAAGCACGCUUAACUGCGGUGUUCUGAUAGGAUCAAGUGCAUUAGUGCUGGUAGGAUCGCAUUCGUUACUACAUGCAAUGCAAUUAUAUAUAUUCUUUUUUGAAGACUUUAUGAUCCAUUUGCGGUAGGUCCCACCAGCUAUGUAGGAAUACCCUAUCUUGCUUAUAAGAGUUUUGAUACAUGCAAAAAUAUUCGAAAACAAUGUCCGAACAUAUAAUUUUUGUCCCGUAAUAUAACAAAGAUCACGAAAAGGCCAAAAAUAGUACAUUUCGGUCAAAACAUGGAGCAGAAAAAAAACCCCUUCCUCAUUCAUCGGAGAGCUCUCAUUGGGCUUUCCGAAAAGAUAUCACAUGCAAAGUUUGGCCUCACGGUUUAAAAGUUAUAGAGUCAAAUAUUUUUAACAAAAAAAAGAGAGAAAAACCGAAAACAAAGAGGGAUGCAACACGAGGACUUUCCGGAAGGUCACCCAUCCUAGUACUACUCUAGCCCAAGCACGCUUAACCGCGGAGUUCUGAUAGGAUCCGGUGCAUUAGUGCUGGUAUGAUCGCAUCAGUUACUACAUGCAAUGCAAUCAUAUAUAUUUUUUUUGAAGACUUUAUGAUCCAUUUGCCGUGGGUCCCACCAGCUAUGUAGGAAUACCUAUCUUGUUUAUAAGAGCUUUGAUACAUGCAAAAUAUUUGAAAACAAUGUCCGAACGUAUAAUCUUCGUCCCGUAAUAUAGCAAAGAUCACGAAAAGGCCAGAAAAAGUACAUUAAGGUCAAAAUUUUGACUAGAAAAAAAAAACAAUAGAAAAAUUCCAUUGUCCUUCCUCAUUCAUCGGAGAGUUCUCUUUGGGCUUUCCGAAAAGGUAUCACAUGCCAAGUUUGGCCUCACGGUCUAAAACUUAUAGAAUCAUACAUUCUUAACAAAAAAAAAAAAAAAACCGAAAAAAAGAAGAAUGCAACACAAGGACUUUCCAGGAGGUCAACCAUCCUAGUAGUACUCUCGCCCAAUCACGCUUAACUGCAGAGUUCUGAUGGGAUCCGGUGCAUUAGUGCUGGUAUGAUCGCAUCUGUUACUACAUGCAAUGCAAUCGUAUCUAUUCUUUUUUGAAGACUUUAUGAUCCAUUUGCCGUGGGUCCCACCAGCUAUGUAGGAAUACCUUAUCUUGUUUAUAAGAGCUUUGAUACAUGCAAAAUAUUCGAAUACAAUGUCUGAACGUAUAACUUUCGCCCCGUAAUAUAGCGAAGAUCACGAAAAGGCCCGAAAAAGUACAUUAAGGUCAAAAUUUCGAGUAGAAAUAAAAACCAAUAGAAGAAUUCCAAUUUCCUUCCUCAUUCAUUGGAGAGCUCUCUUUGGGCUUUCCGAAAAGGUAUCACAUGCGAAGUUUCGCCUCACAAUCUAAAAGUUAUAUAGUCAUACAUUUUUAACAAAACAAAUAGAGAAAAACCGAAAAAAAGAAUGAUACAACACAACGACUUUCCCGGAGGUCACCCAUCCUAAUACUAUUCUCGCCCAAGCAAGCUUAACUGCAGAGUAUUGAUGGGAUCUGAUGCAUAAGUGCUGAUAUGAUCGCAUCCGUUACUACAUGCAAUGCAAUCGUAUCUAUUCGUUUUUGAAGACUUUAUGAUCCAUUUGCCGUGGGUCCCACCAGCUAUGUAGGAAUACCCUAUCUUGUUUAUAAGAGCUUUGAUACAUGCAAAAAAUUGGAAAACAAUGUCUGAACAUAUAAUUUUUGUCCCGUAAUAUAGCAAAGAUCACGAAAAGGAUAGAAAAAGUACAUUAAGGUCAAAAUUUUGAGUAGAAAAAAAAUCAAUAGAAGGAUUCCAAUUUCCUUGCUCAUUCAUAUAGCUCUCUUUGGGCUUUCCGAAAAGGUAUCACAUGCAAAGUUUGGCCUCGCGGUCUAAAAGUUAUAGAGGUAUACUUUUUUACCAAAAAAAAAGAAGAAAAAAACCAAAAAAAAGAGGGAUUCAACACGAGGACUUUCUGGGAGGUCACUCAUCCUAUUACUACUCUCGCCCAAGCACGCUUAACUGCGGAGUUCUGAUAGGAUCCAGUGCAUUAGUGCGGGUAUGAUCACAUCCGUUACUACAUGCAAUGCAAUCGUAUAUAUUUUUUUUGAAGACUUUAUGAUCCAUUUGCCGUGGGUCUCACCAGCUAUAUAGGAAUACCCUAUCUUGUUUAUAAGAGCUUUGAUACAUGCAAAAUAUUUGAAAACAAUGUCCGAACGUAUAAUCUUCGUCCCGUAAUAUAGCAAAGAUCACUAAAAGGCUAGAAAAAGUACAUUAAGAUCAAAAUUUUGAGUAGAAAAAUAAACAAUAGAAAAAUUCCAUUGUCCUUCCUCAUUCAUCGGAGAGUUCUCUUUGGGCUUUCCGAAAAGGUAUCACAUGCCAAGUUUGGCCUCACGGUCUAAAACUUAUAGAAUCAUACAUUCUUAACAAAAAAAAAAGAGAAAAACCGAAAAAAAGAAGAAUUUAACACAAGGACUUUCCAGGAGGUCAACCAUCCUAGUAGUACUCUCGCCCAAUCACGCUUAACUGCAGAGUUCUGAUGGGAUCCGGUGCAUUAGUGCUGGUAUGAUCGCAUCUGUUACUACAUGCAAUGCAAUCGUAUCUGUUACUACAUGCAAUGCAAUCGUAUCUGUUACUACAUGCAAUGCAAUCGUAUCUAUUCUUUUUUGAAGACUUUAUGAUCCAUUUGCCGUGGGUCCCACCAGCUAUGUAGGAAUACCCUAUCUUGUUUAUAAGAGCUUUGAUACAUGCAAAAUAUUCGAAUACAAUGUCUAAACGUAUAAGUUUCGCCCCGUAAUAUAGCGAAGAUCACGAAAAGGCCCGAAAAAGUACAUUAAGGUCAAAAUUUGGAGUAGAAAUAAAAACCAAUAGAAGAAUUCCAAUUUCCUUCCUCAUUCAUUGGAGAGCUCUCUUUGGGCUUUCCGAAAAGGUAUCACAUGCGAAGUUUGGCCUCACAAUCUAAAAGUUAUAUAGUCAUACAUUUUUAACAAAACAAAUAGAGAAAAACCGAAAAAAAGAAUGAUACAACACAAGGACUUUCCGGGAGGUCACCCAUCCUAAUACUAUUCUCGCCCAAGCAAGCUUAACUGCAGAGUAUUGAUGGGAUCUGAUGCAUAAGGGCUGAUAUGAUCGCAUCCGUUACUACAAGCAAUGCAAUCGUAUCUAUUCGUUUUUGAAGACUUUAUGAUCCAUUUGCCGUGGGUCCCACCAGCUAUGUAGGAAUACCCUAUCUUGUUUAUAAGAGCUUUGAUACAUGCAAAAAAUUGGAAAACAAUGUCUGAACAUAUAAUUUUUGUCCCGUAAUAUAGCAAAGAUCACGAAAAGGAUAGAAAAAGUACAUUAAGGUCAAAAUUUUGAGUAGAAAAAAAAUCAAUAGAAGGAUUCCAAUUUCCUUCCUCAUUCAUAUAGCUCUCUUUGGGCUUUCCGAAAAGGUAUCACAUGCAAAGUUUGGCCCCGCGGUCUAAAAGUUAUAGAGGUAUACAUUUUUACCAAAAAAAAGAGGGAUUCAACACGAGGACUUUUUUNNNNNNNNNNNNNNNNNNNNNNNNNNNNNNNNNNNNNNNNNNNNNNNNNNUGCUGGUAUGAUCGCAUCAGUUACUACAUGCAAUGCAAUCAUAUAUAUUCUUUUUUGAAGACUUUAUGAUCCAUUUGCCGUAGGUCCCACCAGCUAUGUAGGAAUACCCUAUCUUGUUUAUAAGAGCUUUGAUACAUGCAAAAUAUUCGAAAACAAUGUCCGAACAUAUAAUUUUUGUCCCGUAAUAUAGCAAAGAUCACGAAAAGGCCAGAAAAAAUACAUUUCGGUCAAAAUUUGGAGUAGAAAAAAAGCCCUUCCUCAUUCAUUGGACAGCUCUCUUUGGGCUUUCCGAAAAGGUAUCACAUGCCAAGUUUGGCCUCACGGUCUAAACCUUAUAGACUCAUACAUUUUUCACAAAAAAAAGAAGAGAAAAACCAAAAAAAAGAGUGAUUAAACACGAGGAUUUUCCUGGAGGUCACCCAUCCUAGUACUACUCUCGCCCAAGCACGCUUAACUGCGAAGGUCUGAUGGGAUAUGGUGCAUUAGUGCUGGUAUGAUCGCAUCUGUUACUACAUGCAAUGCAAUCGUAUCUAUUCUUUUUUGAAGAUUUGAUGAUUCAUUUACCGUGGGUCCCACCAGCUAUGUAGGAAUAACCUAUCUUAUUUAUAAAAGCUUUGAUACAUGCAAAAUAUUCGAAAACAAUGUCCGAACAUAUAAUGUUCGCCCCAAAAUAUAGCAAAGACCACAAAAAUGCCAUAAAAAGUACAUUAAGGUCAAAAUUUGGAGUAGGAAAAAAAUCAAUAGGAGAAUUCCAUUUUCCUUCCCUCAUUCAUCAGAGAGCUCUCUUUGGGCAUUCCAAAAAGGUAUCACAUGCCAAGUUUGGCCUCACGGUCUAAAAGUUAUAGAGUAUUACAUUUUUAACAAAAAAAAAAGGGAAAAACCGAAAAAGAGGGAUGCAACACGAAGACUUUUCUGGAGGUCACCCAUUCUAGUACUACUCUCCCCCAAGCACGCUUAACUGUGGUGUUCUAAUAGGAUCAAGUGCAUUAGUGCUGGUAUGAUCGCAUCAGUUACUACAUGCAAUGCAAUCAUAUAUAUUCUUUUUUGAAGACUUUAUGAUCCAUUUGCCGUAGGUCCCACCAGCUAUGUAGGAAUACCCUAUCUUGUUUAUAAGAGCUUUGAUACAUGCAAAAUAUUCGAAAACAAUGUCCGAACAUAUAAUUUUUGUCCCGUAAUAUAGCAAAGAUCACGAAAAGGCCAGAAAAAAUACAUUUCGGUCAAAAUUUGGAGUAGAAAAAAAGCCCUUCCUCAUUCAUUGGACAGCUCUCUUUGGGCUUUCCGAAAAGGUAUCAUAUGCCAAGUUUGGCCUCACGGUCUAAACCUUAUAGACUCAUACAUUUUUCACAAAAAAAAGAAGAGAAAAACCAAAAAAAAGAGUGAUUAAACACGAGGACUUUCCUGGAGGUCAUCCAUCCUAGUACUACUCUCGCCCAAGCACGCUUAAUUGCGAAGUUCUGAUGGGAUCUGGUGCAUUAGUGCUGGUAUGAUCGCAUAUGUUACUACAUGCAAUGCAAUCGUAUCUAUUCUUUUUUGAAGAUUUUAUGAUUCAUUUACCGUGGGUACCACCAGCUAUGUAGGAAUAACCUAUCUUAUUUAUAAGAGCUUUGAUACAUGCAAAAUAUUCGAAAACAAUGUCCGAACAUAUAAUUUUUGUCCCGUAAUAUAGCAAAGAUCACGAAAAGGCCAGAAAAAAUACAUUUCGGUCAAAAUUUGGAGUAGAAAAAAACCCUUCCUCAUUCAUUGGACAGCUCUGUUUGAGCUUUCCGAAAAGGUAUCACAUGCCAAGUUUGGCCUCACGGUCUAAAAGUUAUAGAGUCAUACAUUUUUCACAAAAAAAAGAAGAGAAAAACCAAAAAAAAGAGUGAUGAAACACGAGGACUUUCCUGGAGGUCACCCAUCCUAGUACUACUCUCGCCCAAGCACGCGUAACUGCGAAGUUCUGAUGGGAUCUGGUGCAUUAGUGCUGGUAUGAUCGCAUCUGUUACUACAUGCAAUGCAAUCGUAUCUAUUCUUUUUUGAAGAUUUUAUGAUUCAUUUACCGUGGGUCCCACCAGCUAUGUAGGAAUAACCUAUCUUAUUUAUAAGAGCUUUGAUACAUGCAAAAUAUUGGAAAACAAUGUCCGAACAUAUAAUGUUCGCCCCAAAAUAUAGCAAAGACAACAAAAAUCCCAUAAAAAGUACAUUAAGGUCAAAAUUUGGAGUAGGAAAAAAAUCAAUAAGAGAAUUCCAUUUUCCUUCCCUCAUUCAUCGGAGAGGUCUCUUUGGGCAUUCCAAAAAGGUAUCACAUGCCAAGUUUGGCCUCACGGUCUAAAAGUUAUAGAGUAAUACAUUUUUAACAAAAAAAAAAGAGAAAAACCGAAAAAAAGAGGGAUGCAACACGAAGACUUUUCUGGAGGUCACCCAUCCUAGUACUACUCUCCCAAAGCACGCUUAACUGUGGUGUUCUGAUAGGAUCAAGUGCAUUAGUGCGGGUAUGAUCGCAUCAGUUACUACAUGCAAUGCAAUCAUAUAUAUUCUUUUUUGAAGACUUUAUGAUCCAUUUGCCGUAGGUCCCACCAGCUAUGUAGGAAUACCCUAUCUUGUUUAUAAGAGCUUUGAUACAUGCAAAAUAUUCGAAAACAAUGUCCGAACAUAUAAUUUUUGUCCCGUAAUAUAGCAAAGAUCACGAAAAGGCCAGGAAAAAUACAUUUCGGUCAAAAUUUGGAGUAGAAAAAAAACCCUUCCUCAUUCAUUGGACAGCUCUCUUUGGGCUUUCCGAAAAGGUAUCACAUGCCAAGUUUGGCCUCACGGUCUAAAAGUUAUAGAUUCAUACAUUUUUCACAAAAAAAAGAAGAGAAAAACCAAAAAAAAGAGGGAUGAAACACGAGGACUUUCCCAGAGGUCACCCAUCCUAGUACUACUCUCGCCCAAGCACGCUUAACUGCGAAGUUCUGAUGGGAUCUGGUGCAUUAGUGCUGGUAUGAUCGCAUCUGUUACUACAUGCAAUGCAAUCGUAUCUAUUCUUUUUUGAAGAUUUUAUGAUUCAUUUACCGUGGGUCCCACCAGCUAUGUAGGAAAACCUAUCUUAUUUAUAAGAUCUUUGAUACAUGCAAAAUAUUGGAAAACAAUGUCCGAACAUAUAAUGUUCGCCCCAAAAUAUAGCGAAGACCACAAAAAUGCCAUAAAAAGUACAUUAAGGUCAAAAUUUGGAGUAGGAAAAAAAUCAAUAGGAGAAUUCCAUUUUCCUUCCCUCAUUCAUCGGAGAGCUCUCUUUGGGCAUUCCAAAAAGGUAUCACAUGCCAAGUUUGGCCUCACGGUCUAAAAGUUAUAGAAUAUUACAUUUUUAACAAAAAAAAAGAGAAAAACCAAAAAAAAGAGGGAUGCAACACGAGGACUUUUCUGGAGGUCACCCAUCCUACUACUACUCUCGCCCAAGCACACUUAACUGCGGUGUUCUGAUAGGAUCAAGUGCAUUAGUGCUGGUAUGAUCGCAUCAGUUACUACAUGCAAUGCAAUCAUAUAUAUUCUUUUUUGAAGACUUUAUGAUCCAUUUGCCGUAGGUCCCACCAGCUAUGUAGGAAUACCCUAUCUUGUUUAUAAGAGCUUUGAUACAUGCAAAAUAUUCGAAAACAAUGUCCGAACAUAUAAUUUUUGUCCCGUAAUAUAGCAAAGAUCACGAAAAGGCCAGAAAAAAUACAUUUUGGUCAAAAUUUGGAGUAGAAAAAAAGCCCUUCCUCAUUCAUUGGACAGCUCUCUUUGGGCUUUCCGAAAAGGUAUCACAUGCCAAGUUUGGCCUCACGGUCUAAACCUUAUAGACUCAUACAUUUUUCACAAAAAAAAGAAGAGAAAAACCAAAAAAAAGAGUGAUUAAACACGAGGAUUUUCCUGGAGGUCACCCAUCCUAGUACUACUCUCGCCCAAGCACGCUUAACUGCGAAGGUCUGAUGGGAUAUGGUGCAUUAGUGCUGGUAUGAUCGCAUCUGUUACUACAUGCAAUGCAAUCGUAUCUAUUCUUUUUUGAAGAUUUGAUGAUUCAUUUACCGUGGGUCCCACCAGCUAUGUAGGAAUAACCUAUCUUAUUUAUAAAAGCUUUGAUACAUGCAAAAUAUUCGAAAACAAUGUCCGAACAUAUAAUGUUCGCCCCAAAAUAUAGCAAAGAUCACAAAAAUGCCAUAAAAAGUACAUUAAGGUCAAAAUUUGGAGUAGGAAAAAAAUCAAUAGGAGAAUUCCAUUUUCCUUCCCUCAUUCAUCGGAGAGCUCUCUUUGGGCAUUCCAAAAAGGUAUCACAUGCCAAGUUUGGCCUCACGGUCUAAAAGUUAUAGAGUAUUACAUUUUUAACAAAAAAAAAAGGGAAAAACCGAAAAAGAGGGAUGCAACACGAAGACUUUUCUGGAGGUCACCCAUCCUAGUACUACUCUCCCCCAAGCACGCUUAACUGUGGUGUUCUAAUAGGAUCAUGUGCAUUAGUGCUGGUAUGAUCGCAUCAGUUACUACAUGCAAUGCAAUCAUAUAUAUUCUUUUUUGAAGACUUUAUGAUCCAUUUGCCGUAGGUCCCACCAGCUAUGUAGGAAUACCCUAUCUUGUUUAUAAGAGCUUUGAUACAUGCAAAAUAUUCGAAAACAAUGUCCGAACAUAUAAUUUUUGUCCCGUAAUAUAGCAAAGAUCACGAAAAGGCCAGAAAAAAUACAUUUCGGUCAAAAUUUGGAGUAGAAAAAAAGCCCUUCCUCAUUCAUUGGACAGCUCUCUUUGGGCUUUCCGAAAAGGUAUCAUAUGCCAAGUUUGGCCUCACGGUCUAAACCUUAUAGACUCAUACAUUUUUCACAAAAAAAAGAAGAGAAAAACCAAAAAAAAGAGUGAUUAAACACGAGGACUUUCUUGGAGGUCAUCCAUCCUAGUACUACUCUCGCCCAAGCACGCUUAACUGCGAAGUUCUGAUGGGAUCUGGUGCAUUAGUGCUGGUAUGAUCGCAUCUGUUACUACAUGCAAUGCAAUCGUAUCUAUUCUUUUUUGAAGAUUUUAUGAUUCAUUUACCGUGGGUACCACCAGCUAUGUAGGAAUAACCUAUCUUAUUUAUAAGAGCUUUGAUACAUGCAAAAUAUUCGAAAACAAUGUCCGAACAUAUAAUUUUUGUCCCGUAAUAUAGCAAAGAUCACGAAAAGGCCAGAAAAAAUACAUUUUGGUCAAAAUUUGGAGUAGAAAAAAACCCUUCCUCAUUCAUUGGACAGCUCUGUUUGAGCUUUCCGAAAAGGUAUCACAUGCCAAGUUUGGCCUCACGGUCUAAAAGUUAUAGAGUCAUACAUUUUUCACAAAAAAAAAGAAGAGAAAAACCAAAAAAAAGAGUGAUGAAACACGAGGACUUUCCUGGAGGUCACCCAUCCUAGUACUACUCUCGCCCAAGCACGCGUAACUACGAAGUUCUGAUGGGAUCUGGUGCAUUAGUGCUGGUAUGAUCGCAUCUGUUACUACAUGCAAUGCAAUCGUAUCUAUUCUUUUUUGAAGAUUUUAUGAUUCAUUUACCGUGGGUCCCACCAGCUAUGUAGGAAUAACCUAUCUUAUUUAUAAGAGCUUUGAUACAUGCAAAAUAUUGGAAAACAAUGUCCGAACAUAUAAUGUUCGCCCCAAAAUAUAGCAAAGACAACAAAAAUGCCAUAAAAAGUACAUUAAGGUCAAAAUUUGGAGUAGGAAAAAAAUCAAUAAGAGAAUUCCAUUUUCCUUCCCUCAUUCAUCGGAGAGCUCUCUUUGGGCAUUCCAAAAAGGUAUCACAUGCCAAGUUUGGCCUCACGGUCUAAAAGUUAUAGAGUAGUACAUUUUUAACAAAAAAAAAAGAGAGAAACCGAAAAAAAGAGGGAUGCAACACGAAGACUUUUCUGGAGGUCACCCAUCCUAGUACUACUCUCCCAAAGCACGCUUAACUGUGGUGUUCUGAUAGGAUCAAGUGCAUUAGUGCGGGUAUGAUCGCAUCAGUUACUACAUGCAAUGCAAUCAUAUAUAUUCUUUUUUGAAGACUUUAUGAUCCAUUUGCCGUAGGUCCCACCAGCUAUGUAGGAAUACCCUAUCUUGUUUAUAAGAGCUUUGAUACAUGCAAAAUAUUCGAAAACAAUGUCCGAACAUAUAAUUUUUGUCCCGUAAUAUAGCAAAGAUCACGAAAAGGCCAGGAAAAAUACAUUUCGGUCAAAAUUUGGAGUAGAAAAAAAACCCUUCCUCAUUCAUUGGACAGCUCUCUUUGGGCUUUCCGAAAAGGUAUCACAUGCCAAGUUUGGCCUCACGGUCUAAAAGUUAUAGAUUCAUACAUUUUUCACAAAAAAAAGAAGAGAAAAACCAAAAAAAAGAGGGAUGAAACACGAGGACUUUCCCAGAGGUCACCCAUCCUAGUACUACUCUCGCCCAAGCACGCUUAACUGCGAAGUUCUGAUGGGAUCUGGUGCAUUAGUGCUGGUAUGAUCGCAUCUGUUACUACAUGCAAUGCAAUCGUAUCUAUUCUUUUUUGAAGAUUUUAUGAUUCAUUUACCGUGGGUCCCACCAGCUAUGUAGGAAAACCUAUCUUAUUUAUAAGAUCUUUGAUACAUGCAAAAUAUUGGAAAACAAUGUCCGAACAUAUAAUGUUCGCCCCAAAAUAUAGCGAAGACCACAAAAAUGCCAUAAAAAGUACAUUAAGGUCAAAAUUUGGAGUAGGAAAAAAAUCAAUAGGAGAAUUCCAUUUUCCUUCCCUCAUUCAUCGGAGAGCUCUCUUUGGGCAUUCCAAAAAGGUAUCACAUGCCAAGUUUGGCCUCACGGUCUAAAAGUUAUAGAAUAUUACAUUUUUAACAAAAAAAAAGAGAAAAACCGAAAAAAAGAGGGAUGCAACACGAAGACUUUUCUGGAGGUCACCCAUCCUACUACUACUCUCGCCCAAGCACACUUAACUGCGGUGUUCUGAUAGGAUCAAGUGCAUUAGUGCUGGUAUGAUCGCAUCAGUUACUACAUGCAAUACAAUCAUAUAUAUUCUUUUUUGAAGACUUUAUGAUCCAUUUGCCGUAGGUCCCACCAGCUAUGUAGGAAUACCUUAUCUUGUUUAUAAGAGCUUUGAUACAUGCAAAAUAUUCGAAAACAAUGUCCGAACAUAUAAUUUUUGUCCCGUAAUAUAGCAAAGAUCACGAAAAGGCCAGAAAAAAUACAUUUCGGUCAAAAUUUGGAGUAGAAAAAAAACCCUUCCUCAUUCAUUGGACAGCUCUCUUUGGGCUUUCCGAAAAGGUAUCACAUGCCAAGUUUGGCUUCACGGUCUAAACCUUAUAGACUCAUACAUUUUUCACAAAAAAAAGAAGAGAAAAACAAAAAAAAAGAGUGAUUAAACACGAGGACUUUCCUGGAGGUCACCCAUCCUAGUACUACUCUCGCCCAAGCACUCUUAACUGCGAAGUUCUGAUGGGAUCUGGUGCAUUAGUGCUGGUAUGAACGCAUCUGUUACUACAUGCAAUGCAAUCGUAUGUAUUCUUUUUUGAAGAUUUUAUGAUUCAUUUACCGUGGGUCCCACCAGCUAUGUAGGAAUAACCUAUCUUAUUUAUAAAAGCUUUGAUACAUGCAAAAUAUUCGAAAACAAUGUCCGAACAUAUAAUGUUCGCCCCAAAAUAUAGCAAAGACCACAAAAAUGCCAUAAAAAGUACAUUAAGGUCAAAAUUUGGAGUAGGAAAAAAAUCAAUAGGAGAAUUCCAUUUUCCUUCCCUCAUUCAUCGGAGAGCUCUCUUUGGGCAUUCCAAAAAGGUAUCACAUGCCAAGUUUGGCCUCACGGUCUAAAAGUUAUAGAGUAUUACAUUUUUAACAAAAAAAAAAAGAGAAAAACCGAAAAAAAGAGGGAUGCAACACGAAGACUUUUCUGGAGGUCACCCAUCCUAGUACUACUCUCCCCCAAGCACGCUUAACUGUGGUGUUCUGAUAGGAUCAAGUGCAUUAGUGCUGGUAUGAUCGCAUCAGUUACUACAUGCAAUGCAAUCAUAUAUAUUCUUUUUUGAAGACUUUAUGAUCCAUUUGCCGUAGGUCCCACCAGCUAUGUAGGAAUACCCUAUCUUGUUUAUAAGAGCUUUGAUACAUGCAAAAUAUUCGAAAACAAUGUCCGAACAUAUAAUUUUUGUCCCGUAAUAUAGCAAAGAUCACGAAAAGGUCAGAAAAAAUAUAUUUCGGUCAAAAUUUGGAGUAGAAAAAAAGCCCUUCCUCAUUCAUUGGACAGCUCUCUUUGGGCUUUCCGAAAAGGUAUCACAUGCCAAGUUUGGCCUCACGGUCUAAACCUUAUAGACUCAUACAUUUUUCAUAAAAAAAAGAAGAGAAAAACAAAAAAAAAAAGAGUGAUUAAACACGAGGACUUUCCUGGAGGUCACCCAUCCUAGUACUACUCUCGCCCAAGCACGCUUAACUACGAAGUUCCGAUGGGAUCUGAUGCAUUAGUGCUGGUAUGAUCGCAUCUGUUACUACAUGCAAUGCAAUCGUAUCUAUUCUUUUUUGAAGAUUUUAUGAUUCAUUUACUGUGGGUCCCACCAGCUAUGUAGGAAUAACCUAUCUUAUUUAUAAAAGCUUUGAUACAUGCAAAAUAUUGGAAAACAAUGUCCGAACAUAUAAUGUUCGCCCCAAAAUAUAGCAAAGACCACAAAAAUGCCAUAAAAAGUACAUUAAGGUCAAAAUUUGGAGUAGGAAAAAAAUCAAUAGGAGAAUUCCAUUUUCCUUCCCUCAUUCAUCGGAGAGCUCUCUUUGGGCAUUCCAAAAAGGUAUCACAUGCCAAGUUUGGCCUCACGGUCUAAAAGUUAUAGAGUAAUACAUUUUUAACAAAAAAAAAAAAGAAAAAAACCGAAAACAAAGAGGGAUGCAACACGAAGACUUUCCUGGAGGUCACCCAUCCUAGUACUACUCUCACCCAAGCACACNUUAACUGUGGUGUUCUGAUAGGAUCAAGUGCAUUAGUGCUGGUAUGAUCGCAUCAGUUACUACAUGCAAUGCAAUCNNNNNNNNNNNNNNNNNNNNNNNNNNNNNNNNNNNNNNNNNNNNNNNNNNCUCCUCAGUCAUCUUUGAGCUCUCUUUGGGCUUUCCGAAAAGGUAUCACAUGCCCAGUUUGGCCUCACGGUCUAAAAGUUAUAAAGUCAUACAUUUUUAACAAAAAAAAAAGAGAAAAACCGAAAAAAAGAGGGAUGCAAUACGAGGACUUUCCACGAGGUCACCCAUCCUAGUACAACUCUCGCCAAAGCAUGCUUAACUGCGGAGUUUAGAUGGGAUCUGGUGCAUUAGUGCUGGUAUGAUCGCAUCUGUUACUACAUGCAAUGCAAUCGUAUCUAUUCUUAUUUAAAGACUUUAUCAUCCAUUUGCCAUGGGUCCCACCUGUAGGAAUACCCAAUCUUGUUUAUAAGAGCUUUGAUACAUGCAAAAUAUUCGAAAACAACGUCCGAACAUAUAAUUUUCGCCCCGUAAUAUAGCAAAGAUCACGAAAAGGCCCGAAAAAGUACAUUAAGGUCAAAAUUUGGAAUAGAAAAAAAAACCAAAAGAAGUAUUCCAUUGUCCUUUGUCAUUCAUCGAAGAGCUCUCUUUGGGCUUUCCGAAAAGGUAUCGCAAGCCAAGUUUGGCCUCACGGUUUAAAAGUUAUAAAGUCAUACAUUUUUAACAAAAAAAAAAAGAGAAAAAACCGAAAAAAAGAGGGAUGCAACACGAGGACUUUUCUGGAGGUCACCCAUCCUAGUACUACUCUCGCCCGAUCACCCUUAACUGCGUAGUUUUGAUGGGAUUCGAUGCAUUAGUGCUGGUAUGAUCGCAUCUGUUACUACAUGCAAUGUAAUCGUAUCUAUUCUUUUUUAAAGACUUUAUGAUCCAUUUGCCGUGGGUCCCACCAGCUAUGUAGGAAUACCCUAUCUUCUUUAUAAGAGCUUUGAUAUAUGCAAAAUAGUGGAAAACCAUGUCCGAACAUAUAAUUUUUCCCCUGUAAUAUAGCAAAGAUCAAGAAAAAGCCAAAAAAAGUAUAUUUAGGUCAAAAUUUGGAGUAGAAAAAAAAACAAUAGAAGAAUUCCAUUUUCCUUCCUCAGUCAUCGGAGAGCUCUCUUUCGGCUUUCCGAAAAGGUAUCAAAUGCCAAGUUUGGCCUCACGGUCUAAAAGUUAUAGAGUCAUACAUUUUUAACAAUACAAAGUAGAGAAAACCGGAAAAAAGAGGGAUGCAACAUGAGGACUUUCCGGGAGGUAAUCCAUCCUAGUACAACUCUUGCCCAAGCACCCUUAACUGCGGAGUUCUGAUGGAAUCCGGUGCAUUAGUGCUGGUAUGAUCGCAUCUGUUACUACAUGCAAUGUAAUCGUAUCUAUUUUUUUUUAAAGACUUUAUGAUCCAUUUGCCGUGGGUCCCACCAGCUAUGUAGGAAUACCCUAUCUUCUUUAUAAGAGCUUUGAUACAUGCAAAAUAUAUGAAAAAACGUUCGAACAUAUAAUUUUUCCCCCCGUAAUAUAGCAAAGAUCACGAAAAGGCCCGAAAAAGUACAUUUAGUUCAAAAUUUGGAGUAGAAAAACCCAAUAGAAGAAUUCCAUUUUCCUUCGUCAUUCAUCGGAGAGCUCUCUUUGGGCUUUCCGAAAAGGUAUCACAUGCCAAGUUUGGCCUCACGGUCUAAAAGUUAUAGAGUCAUACAUUUUUAACAAAACAAAAUUGAGAAAAACCGAAAAAAGAGGGAUGCAACACGAGGACUCUCCAGAAGGUAACCCAUCUUAGUACUACUUUCGCCCAAGCACCCUUAACUGCGGAGUUCUGAUAGGACCCGGUGCAUUAGUGCUGGUAUGAUCGCAUGUGUUACUACAUGCAAUGUAAUCGUAUAUAUUCAUUUUUAAAGACUUUAUGAUCCAUUUGCCGUGGGUCCUACCAGCUAUGUAGAAAUACCCUAUCUUCUUUAUAAGAGCUUUCAUUCACGCAAAAUAAUGGAAAACAAUGUCCGAAGAUAUAAUUCCCCCCCCCCCCCCCCCGUAAUAUAGCAAAGAUCACGAAAAGGCCCGAAAAAGUACAUUAAGUUCAAAAUUUGGAGUAGAAAAAAAAACAAUAGAAGAAUUCCAUUUUCCUUCCUCAGUCAUCGGAGAGCUCUCUUUGGGCUUUCCGAAAAGGUAUCACAUGCCAAGUUUGGCCUCACGGUCUAAAGGUUAUAGAGUCAUACAUUUUUAACAAAAAAAAAUAGAAAAACAGAAAAAAGAGGGAUGCAAUACGAGGACUUUCCAGGAGGUCACCCAUCCUAGUACAACUCUCGCCGAAGCACGCUUAACUACGGUGUUCAGAUGGAAUCUGGUGCAUUAGUGCUGGUAUGAUGUCAUUUGUUACUACAUGCAAUGCAAUCAUAUCUAUUCUUAUUUAAAGACUUUAUGAUCCAUUUGCCGUGGGUCCCACCUGUAGGAAUACCCUAUCUUGUUUAUAAAAGAUUUGAUACAUGCAAAAUACUCGAAAACAAUGUCCGAACAUAUAAUUUUCACCCCGUAAUAUAGCAAAGAUCACGAAAAGGCCCGAAAAAGUACAUUAAAGUCAAAAUUUGGAGUAGAAAAAAACCCAAUAGAAGUAUUCCAUUCUCCUUCGUCAUUCAUCGGAGAGCUCUCUUUAGGCUUUCCGAAAAGAUAUCACAUGCCAAGUUUGGCCUCACGGUUUAAAAGUUAUAGAGUCAUAGAUUUUUAACAAAACAAAAAGAGAAAAACCGAAAAAAAAUUGGGAUGCAACACGAGGACUUUCCUGGAGGUCACCCAUCCUAGUACUACUCUUGCCCAAGCACCCUUAACUGCGUAGUUCUGAUGGGAUCCGAUGCUUUAGGGCUGGUAUGAUCGCAUCUGUUACUACAUGCAAUGUAAUCGUAUCUAUUCUUUUUUAAAGACUUUAUGAUCCAUUUGCCGUGGGUCCCACCAGCUAUGUAGGAAUACCCUAUCUUCUUUAUAAGAGCUUUGAUAAAUGCAAAAUAUUGGAAAGCAAUGUCCGAACAUAUAAUUUCGCCCCCGUAAUAUAGCAAAGAUCACGAAAAAGCCCAAAAAAGUUCAUUUAGGUCAAAAUUUGAGCAGAAGAAAAAGAAAUAGAAGAAUUCCAUUUUCCUUCCUCAUUUAUUGGAGAGCUCUCUUUGGGCUUUCCGAAAAGGUAUCACAUGCCAAGUUUGGCCUCACGGUCUAAAAGUUAUAGAGUCAUACAGUUUUAACAAAAUGAAAUAGAGAAAAACCGAAAAAAAGAGGGAUGUAACACGAGGACUUUCCGGGAGGUAAUCUAUCCUACUACUACUCUCGGCCAAGCACCCUUAACUGCGGAGUUCUAAUGGGAUCCGGUGCAUUAGUGCUAGUAUGAUCGCAUGUGUUACUACAUGCAAUGUAAUCGUAUCUAUUCUUUUUUAAAGACUUUAUGAUCCAUUUGCCGUGGGUCCCACCAGCUAUGUAGGAAUACCCUAUCUUCUUUAUAAGAGCUUUGAUACAUGCAAAAUAUAUGAAAAAAACGUCCGAACAUAUAAUUUUCCCCCCGUAAUAUAGCAAAGAUCAUGAAAAGGCCCAAAAAAGUACAUUAAUGUCAAAAUUUGGCGUAGAAAAAAAACCAAUAGACAUAUUCCAUUGUCCUUCAUCAUUCAUUGAAGAGCUCUCUUUGGGCUUUCCGAAAAGGUAUCACAUGCCAAGUUUGGCCUCACGGUCUAAAAGUUAUAGAGUCAUACAUUUUUAACAAUACAAAAUAGAGAAAAACCGAAAAAAAGAGGGAUGCAACACGAGGACUUUCCGGGAGGUAAUCCAUCCUAGUACUACUCUCGCCCAAGCACCCUUAACUGCGGAGUUCUGAUGGGACCCGGUGCAUUAGUGCUGGUAUGAUCGCAUCUGUUACUAUAUGCAAUGUAAUCGUAUCUAUUCUUUUUUAAAGACUUUAUGAUCCAUUUGCCGUGGGUCCCACCAGCUAUGUAGGAAUACCCUAUCUUCUUUAUAAGAGCUUUGAUAUAUGCAAAAUAUUGGAACACCAUGUCCGAACAUAUAAUUUUUCCCGUGUAAUAUAGCAAAGAUCAAGAAAAAGACAAAAGAGUACAUUUAGGUCAAAAUUUGAGUAGAAAAAAACAAAUAGAAGAAUUCCAUUUUCCUUCCUCAUUCAGCUGAGAGCUCUCUUUGGGCUUUCCGAAAAGGUAUCAUAUGCCAAGUUUGGCCUCACAGUGUAAAAGUUAUAGAGUCUAACAUUUUUAACAAAACAAAAUAGAGAAAAACCAAAAAAAGAGGGAUGCAACACGAGGACUUUCUGGGAGGUCACCCAUCCUAGUACUACUCUCGCCCAAGCACCCUUAACUGCGGAGUUCUGAUGGGAUCCGGUGCAUUAGUGCAGGUAUGAUCGCAUGUGUUACUACAUGCAAUGUAAUCCUAUCUAUUCUUUCUUAAAGACUUUAUGAUCCAUUUGCCGUGAGUCCCACCAGCUAUGUAGGAAUACCCUAUCUUCUUUAUAAGAGCUUUGAUACAUGCAAAAUAUUGGAAAACAAUAUCCGAACAUAUAGUUUUCCCCCCGUAAUAUAGCAAAGAUCACGAAAAGGCCCGAAAAAGUACAUUUAGUUCAAAAUUGGGAGUAGAAAAAAAAACAAUAGAAGAAUUCCAUUUUACUUCCUCAGUCAUCGGAGAGCUCUCUUUGGGCUUUCCGAAAAGGUAUCACAUGCCCAGUUUGGCCUCACGGUCUAAAAGUUAUAAAGUCAUACAUUUUUAACAAAAACAAAAGAGAAAAACCGAAAAAAAAGAGGGAUGCAAUACGAGGACUUUCCACGAGGUCACCCAUCCUAGUACAACUCUCGCCGAAGCAUGCUUAACUGCGGAGUUUAGAUGGGAUCUGGUGCAUUAGUGCUGGUAUGAUCGCAUCUGUUACUACAUGCAAUGCAAUCGUAUCUAUUCUUAUUUAAAGACUUUAUCAUCCAUUUGCCAUGGGUCCCACCUGUAGGAAUACCCAAUCUUGUUUAUAAGAGCUUUGAUACAUGCAAAAUAUUCGAAAACAACGUCCGAACAUAUAAUUUUCGCCCCGUAAUAUAGCAAAGAUCACGAAAAGGCCCGAAAAAGUACAUUAAGGUCAAAAUUUGGAAUAGAAAAAAAAACCAAUAGAAGUAUUCCAUUGUCCUUUGUCAUUCAUCGAAGAGCUCUCUUUGGGCUUUCCGAAAAGGUAUCGCAAGCCAAGUUUGGCCUCACGGUUUAAAAGUUAUAAAGUCAUACAUUUUUAACAAAAAAAAAAAGAGAAAAAACCGAAAAAAAGAGGGAUGCAACACGAGGACUUUUCUGGAGGUCACCCAUCCUAAUACUUCUCUCGCCCGAUCACCCUUAACUACGUAGUUUUGAUGGGAUUCGAUGCAUUAGUGCUGGUAUGAUCGCAUCUGUUACUACAUGCAAUGUAAUCGUAUCUAUUCUUUUUUAAAGACUUUAUGAUCCAUUUGCCGUGGGUCCCACCAGCUAUGUAGGAAUACCCUAUCUUCUUUAUAAGAGCUUUGAUAUAUGCAAAAUAUUGGAAAACCAUGUCCGAACAUAUAAUUUUUCCCCUGUAAUAUAGCAAAGAUCAAGAAAAAGCCAAAAAAGUAUAUUUAGGUCAAAAUUUGGAGUAGAAAAAAAAACAAUAGAAGAAUUCCAUUUUCCUUCCUCAGUCAUCGGAGAGCUCUCUUUGGGCUUUCCGAAAAGGUAUCAAAUGCCAAGUUUGGCCUCACGGUCUAAAAGUUAUAGAGUCAUACAUUUUUAACAAUACAAAGUAGAGAAAACCGGAAAAAAGAGGGAUGCAACAUGAGGACUUUCCGGGAGGUAAUCCAUCCUAGUACAACUCUUGCCCAAGCACCCUUAACUGCGGAGUUCUGAUGGAAUCCGGUGCAUUAGUGCUGGUAUGAUCGCAUGUGUUACUACAUGCAAUGUAAUCGUAUCUAUUCUUUUUUAAAGACUUUAUGAUCCAUUUGCCGUGGGUCCCACCAGCUAUGUAGGAAUACCCUAUCUUCUUUAUAAGAGCUUUGAUACAUGCAAAAUAUAUGAAAAAACGUUCGAACAUAUAAUUUUUCCCCCCGUAAUAUAGCAAAGAUCACGAAAAGGCCCGAAAAAGUACAUUUAGUUCAAAAUUUGGAGUAGAAAAACCCAAUAGAAGAAUUCCAUUUUCCUUCGUCAUUCAUCGGAGAGCUCUCUUUGGGCUUUCCGAAAAGGUAUCACAUGCCAAGUUUGGCCUCACGGUCUAAACGUUAUAGAGUCAUACAUUUUUAACAAAACAAAAUUGAGAAAAACCGAAAAAAAGAGGGAUGCAACACGAGGACUCUCCAGAAGGUAACCCAUCUUAGUACUACUUUCGCCCAAGCACCCUUAACUGCGGAGUUCUGAUAGGACCCGGUGCAUUAGUGCUGGUAUGAUCGCAUGUGUUACUACAUGCAAUGUAAUCGUAUAUAUUCAUUUUUAAAGACUUUAUGAUCCAUUUGCCGUGGGUCCUACCAGCUAUGUAGAAAUACCCUAUCUUCUUUAUAAGAGCUUUCAUUCACGCAAAAUAAUGGAAAACAAUGUCCGAAGAUAUAAUUUCCCCCCCCCCCCGUAAUAUAGCAAAGAUCACGAAAAGGCCCGAAAAAGUACAUUAAGUUCAAAAUUUGGAGUAGAAAAAAAAACAAUAGAAGAAUUCCAUUUUCCUUCCUCAGUCAUCGGAGAGCUCUCUUUGGGCUUUCCGAAAAGGUAUCACAUGCCAAGCUUGGCCUCACGGUCUAAAGGUUAUAGAGUCAUACAUUUUUAACAAAAAAAAAAUAGAAAAACAGAAAAAAGAGGGAUGCAAUACGAGGACUUUCCAGGAGGUCACCCAUCCUAGUACAACUCUCGCCGAAGCACGCUUAACUACGGUGUUCAGAUGGAAUCUGGUGCAUUAGUGCUGGUAUGAUGUCAUUUGUUACUACAUGCAAUGCAAUCAUAUCUAUUCUUAUUUAAAGACUUUAUGAUCCAUUUGCCGUGGGUCCCACCUGUAGGAAUACCCUAUCUUGUUUAUAAAAGAUUUGAUACAUGCAAAAUACUCGAAAACAAUGUCCGAACAUAUAAUUUUCACCCCGUAAUAUAGCAAAGAUCACGAAAAGGCCCGAAAAAGUACAUUAAAGUCAAAAUUUGGAGUAGAAAAAAACCCAAUAGAAGUAUUCCAUUCUCCUUCGUCAUUCAUCGGAGAGCUCUCUUUAGGCUUUCCGAAAAGAUAUCACAUGCCAAGUUUGGCCUCACGGUUUAAAAGUUAUAGAGUCAUAGAUUUUUAACAAAACAAAAAGAGAAAAACCGAAAAAAAUUGGGAUGCAACACGAGGACUUUCCUGGAGGUCACCCAUCCUAGUACUACUCUCGCCCAAGCACCCUUAACUGCGUAGUUCUGAUGGGAUCCGAUGCUUUAGUGCUGGUAUGAUCGCAUCUGUUACUACAUGCAAUGUAAUCGUAUCUAUUCUUUUUUAAAGACUUUAUGAUCCAUUUGCCGUGGGUCCCACCAGCUAUGUAGGAAUACCCUAUCUUCUUUAUAAGAGCUUUGAUAAAUGCAAAAUAUUGGAAACCAAUGUCCGAACAUAUAAUUUCGCCCCCGUAAUAUAGCAAAGAUCACGAAAAAGCCCAAAAAAGUUCAUUUAGGUCAAAAUUUGAGCAGAAGAAAAAGAAAUAGAAGAAUUCCAUUUUCCUUCCUCAUUUAUUGGAGAGCUCUCUUUGGGCUUUCCGAAAAGGUAUCACAUGCCAAGUUUGGCCUCACGGUCUAAAAGUUAUAGAGUCAUACAUUUUUAACAAAAUGAAAUAGAGAAAAACCGAAAAAAAGAGGGAUGUAACACGAGGACUUUCCGGGAGGUAAUCUAUCCUACUACUACUCUCGGCCAAGCACCCUUAACUGCGGAGUUCUAAUGGGAUCCGGUGCAUUAGUGCUGGUAUGAUCGCAUGUGUUACUACAUGCAAUGUAAUCGUAUCUAUUCUUUUUUAAAGACUUUAUGAUCCAUUUGCCGUGGGUCCCACCAGCUAUGUAGGAAUACCCUAUUUUCUUUAUAAGAGCUUUGAUACAUGCAAAAUAUUGGAAAACAAUGUCCGAACAUAUUAUUUUCCCCCCGUAAUAUAGCAAAGAUCACGAAAAGGCCCGAAAAAGUACAUUUAGUUCAAAAUGUGGAGUAGAAAAAAAAACAAUAGAAGAAUUCCAUUUUCCUUCGUCAUUCAUCGGAGAGCUCUCUUUAGGCUUUCCGAAAAGGUAUCACAUGCCAAGUUUGGCCUCACGGUCUAAAAGUUAUAGAAUCAUACAUUUUUAACAAAACAAAAUAGAGAAAAACCGAAAAAGAGGGAUUUAACACGAGGACUUUCCGAGAGGUAACCCAUCCUAGUACUACUCUCGUCCAAGCACCCUUAACUGCGGAGUUCUGAUGGGAUCCGGUGUAUUAGUGCUGGUAUGAUCGCAUGUGUUACUACAUGCAAUGUAAUCGUAUCUAUUCUUUUUUAAAGACUUUAUAAUCCAUUUGCCGUGGGUCCCACCAGCUAUGUAGGAAUACCCUAUUUUCUUUAUAAGAGCUUUGAUACAUGCAAAAUAUUAGAAAACAAUGUCCGAACAUAUUAUUUUCCCCCCGUUAUAUAGCAAAGAUCACGAAAAGGCCCGAAAAAGUACAUUUAGUUCAAAAUUUGGAGUAGAAAAAAAAACAAUAGAAGAAUUCCAUUUUCCUUCGUCAUUCAUCGGAGAGCUCUCUUUAGGCUUUCCGAAAAGGUAUCACAUGCCAAGUUUGGCCUCACGGUCUAAAAGUUAUAGAGUCAUACAUUUUUAACAAAACAAAAUAGAGAAAAACCGAAAAAAGAGGGAUUUAACACGAGGACUUUCUGAGAGGUAACCCAUCCGAGUACUACACUCGCCCAAGCACCCUUAACUACGGAGUUCUGAUGGGAUACGGUGCAUUAGUGCUGGUUUGAUCGCAUCUGUUACUACAUGCAAUGUAAUCGUAUCUAUUCUUUUUUAAAGACUUUAUGAUCCAUUUGCCGUGGGUGCCACCAACUAUGUAGGAUUAUCCUAUAUUCUUUAUAAGAGCUUUGAUACAUGAAAAAUAUUCGAAAACAAUGUCCGAACAUAUAAUUUCCACCCGUAAUAUAGCAAAGAUCACGAAAAGGCCCAAAAAAGUACAUUAAGUUUAAAAUUUGGAGUAGAAAAAAAACCAAUAGAAGAAUUCCAUUUUCCUUCCUCAGUCAUCGGAGAGCUCUCUUUGGGCUUUCCGAAAAGGUAUCACAUGCCAAGUUUGACCUCACGGUCUAAAGGUUAUAGAGUCAUACAUUUUUAACAAAAAAAAAUAGAAAAACAGGAAAAAAGAGGGAUGCAAUACGAGGACUUUCCAGGAGGUCACCCAUCCUAGUACAACUCUCGCCGAAGCACGCUUAACUGCGGUGUUCAGAUGGGAUCUGGUGCAUUAGUGCUCGUAUGAUGGCAUUUGUUACUACAUGCAAUGCAAUCGUAUCUACUCUUAUUUAAAGACUUUAUGAUCCAUUUGCCGUGGGUGCCACCAACUAUGUAGGAUUAUCCUAUAUUCUUUAUAAGAGCUUUGAUACAUGCAAAAUAUUCGAAAGCAAUGUCCGAACAUAUAAUUUCCCCCCCGUAAUAUAGCAAAGAUCACGAAAAGGCCCGAAAAAGUACAUUUAGUUCAAAAUUUGGAGUAGAAAAAAAAACAAUAGAAGAAUUCCAUUUUCCUUCGUCAUUCAUCGGAGAGCUCUCUUUAGGCUUUCCGAAAAGGUAUCACAUGCCAAGUUUGGCCUCACGGUCUAAAAGUUAUAGAGUCAUACAUUUUCAACAAAACAAAAUAGAGAAACACCGAAAAAAGAGGGAUUUAACACGAGGACUUUCCGAGAGGUAACCCAUCCUAGUACUACUCUCGUCCAAGCACCCUUAACUGCGGAGUUCUGAUGGGAUCCGGUGCAUUAGUGCUGGUAUGAUCGCAUGUGUUACUACAUGCAAUGUAAUCAUAUCUAUUCUUUUUUUAAAGACUUUAUGAUUCAUUUGCCGUGGGUCCCACCAGCUAUGUAGGAAUACCCUAUUUUCUUUAUAACAGCUUUGAUACAUGCAAAAUAUUGGAAAACAAUGUCCGAACAUAUUAUUUUCCUCCCGUAAUAUAGCAAAGAUCACGAAAAGGCCCGAAAAAGUACAUUUAGUUCAAAAUUUGGAGUAGAAAAAAAAACAAUAGAAGAAUUCCAUUUUCCUUCGUCAUUCAUCGGAGAGCUCUCUUUAGGCUUUCCGAAAAGGUAUCACAUGCCAAGUUUGGCCUCACGGUCUAAAAGUAUAGAGUCAUACAUUUUUAAAAAAACAAAAUAGAGAAAAACCGAAAAAAGAGGGAUUUAACACGAGGACUUUCCGAGAGGUAACCCAUCCUAGUACUACUCUCGUCCAAGCACCCUUAACUGCGGAGUUCUAAUGGGAUCUGGUGCAUUAGUGCUGGUAUGAUCGCAUGUGUUACUACAUGCAAUGUAAUCGUAUCUAUUCUUUUUUAAAGACUUUAUGAUCCAUUUGCCGUGGGUCCCACCAGCUAUGUAGGAAUACCCUAUUUUCUUUAUAAGAGCUUUGAUACAUGCAAAAUAUUGGAAAACAAUGUCCGAACAUAUUAUUUUCCCCCCGUUAUAUAGCAAAGAUCACGAAAAGGCCCGAAAAAGUACAUUUAGUUCAAAAUUUGGAGUAGAAAGAAAAACAAUAGAAGAAUUCCAUUUUCCUUCGUCAUUCAUCUGAGAGCUCUCUUUAGGCUUUCCGAAAAGGUAUCACAUGCCAAGUUUGGCCUCACGGUCUAAAAGUUAUAGAGUCAUACAUUUUUAACAAAACAAAAUAGAGAAAAACCGAAAAAGAGGGAUUUAAGACGAGGACUUUCUGAGAGGUAACCCAUCCGAGUACUACACUCGCCCAAGCACCCUUAACUACGGAGUUCUGAUGGGAUACGGUGCAUUAGUGCUGGUUUGAUCGCAUGUGUUACUACAUGCAAUGUAAUCGUAUCUAUUCUUUUUUAAAGACUUUAUGAUCCAUUUGCCGUGGGUGCCACCAACUAUGUAGGAUUAUCCUAUAUUCUUUAUAAGAUCUUUGAUACUUGCAAAAUAUUCGAAAAAAAUGUCCGAACAUAUAAUUUCCCCCCCGUAAUAUAGCAAAGAUCACGAAAAGGCCCAAAAAAGUACAUUAAGUUUAAAAUUUGGAGUAGAAAAAAAACCAAUAGAAGAAUUCCAUUUUCCUUCCUCAGUCAUCGGAGAGCUCUCUUUGGGCUUUCCGAAAAGUUAUCACAUGCCAAGUUUGACCUCACGGUCUAAAGGUUAUAGAGUCAUACAUUUUUAACAAAAAAAAAUAGAAAAACAGGAAAAAAGAGGGAUGCAAUACGAGGACUUUCCAGCAGGUCACCCAUCCUAGUACAACUCUCGCCAAAGCACGCUUAACUGCGGUGUUCAGAUGGGAUCUGGUGCAUUAGUGCUUGUAUGAUGGCAUUUGUUACUACAUGCAAUGCAAUCGUAUCGAUUCUUAUUUAAAGACUUUAUGAUCCAUUUGUCGUGGGUGCCACCUGUAGGAAUACCCUAUCUUGUUUAUAAGAGAUUUGAUACAUGCAAAAUAUUCGAAAACAAUGUCCGAACAUAUAAUUUUUGCCCCGUAAUAUAGAAAAGAUCACAAAAAAGUCCAAAAAAGUACAUUUAGGUCAAAAUUUGAGCAGAAAAAAAAGAAAUAGAAGAAUUCCAUUUUCCUUCGUCAUUCAUCGGAGAGCUCUCUUUAGGCUUUCCGAAAAGAUAUCACAUGCCAAGUUUGGCCUCACGGUCUAAAAGUUAUAGAGUCAUACAUUUUUCACAAAACAAAAAGAGAAAAACCGAAAAAAAUAGGGAUGCAACACGAGGACUUUCCUGGAGGUCACCCAUCCUAGUACUAAUCUCGCCCAAGCACCCUUAACUGCGUAGUUCUGAUGGGAUCCGAUGCAUUAGUCCUGGUAUGAUCGCAUCUGUUACUAUAUGCAAUAUAAUCGUAUCUAUUCUUUUUUAAAGACUUUAUGAUCCAUUUGCCGUGGGUCCCACCAGCUAUGUAGGAUACCCUAUCUUCAUAAUAAGAGCUUUGAUAAAUGCAAAAUAUUGGAAAACAAUGUCCGAACAUAUAAUUUCCCCCCCCCCCCCCGUAAUAUAGCAAAGAUCACGAAAAAGCCCAAAAAAGUACAUUUAGGUCAAAAUUUGAGUAGAAAAAAAAACAAAUAGAGGAAUUCCAUUUUCCGUCCUCAUUCAUCGGAGAGCUCUCUUUCGGCUUUCCGAAAAGGUAUCACAUGCCAAGUUUGGCCUCACGGUCUAAAAGUUAUAGAGUCAUACAUUUUUAACAAAACAAAAUAGAGAAAAACCGAAAAAAAGAAGGAUGCAACACGAGGACUUCCCGGGAGGUCACCCAUCCUAGUACUACUCUCGCCUAAGCACCCUUAACUGCGGAGUUCUGAUGGGAUCAGGUGCAUUAGUGCUGGUAUGAUCGCAUGUGGUACUACAUGCAAUGUAAUCGUAUCUAUUCCUUUUGAAAGACUUUAUGAUCCAUUUGCCGUGGGUCCCACCAGCUAUGUAGGAAUACCCUAUCUUCUUUAUAAGAGCUUUGAUACAUGCAAAAUAUUUGAAAACAAUGUCCGAACAUAUAAUUUUCCCCCCGUUAUAUAGCAAAGAUCACGAAAAGGCCCAAAAAAGUACAAUUAGUUCAAAAUUUGGAGUAGAAAAAAAAACAAUAGAAGAAUUCCAUUUUCCUUCCUCAGUCAUCGGAGAGCUCUCUUUGGGCUUUCCAAAAAGGUAUCACAUGCCAAGUUUGGCCUCACAGUCUAAAAGUUAUAGAGUCAUACAUUUUUAACAAAACAAAAUAGAGAAAAACCGAAAAAAAGAGGGAUGCAACACGAGGACUUUCCGGGAGGUAACCCAUCCUAGUACUACUCUCGCCCAAGCACCCUUAACUGCGGAGUUUUGAUGGGAUCCGGUGCAUUAGUGUUGGUAUGAUCGCAUGUGUUACUACAUGCAAUGUAAUCGUAUCUAUUCCUUUUGAAAGACUUUAUGAUCCAUUUGCCGUGGGUCCCACCAGCUAUGUAGGAAUACCCUAUCUUCUUUAUAAGAGCUUUGAUACAUACAAAAUAUUGGAUCACAAUGUCAUAACAUAUAAUUUUCCCCCCUUAAUAUAGCAAAGAUCACGAAAAGGCCCGAAAAAAUACAUUUAGUUCAAAAUUUGGAGUAGAAAAAAAAAAUAUAAGAAUUCCAUUUUCCUUCCUCUGUUAUCGGAGAGCUCUCUUUGGGCUUUCCGAAAAGGUAUCACAUGCCAAGUUUGGCCUCACGGUCUAAAAGAUAUAAAGUCAUACAUUAUUAACAAAACAAAAUAGAGAAAAACCGAAAAAAAGAAGGAUGCAACACGAGGACUUUCCGGGAGGUAAUCUAUCCUAGUACUACUCUCGCCCAAGCACCCUUAACUGCGGAGUUCUGAUGGGAUCCGGUGCAUUAGUGUUGGUAUGAUCGCAUGUGUUACUACAUGCAAUGUAACCGUAUCUAUUCUUUUUUAAAGACUUUAUGAUCCAUUUGCCGUGGGUCCCACCAGCUAUGUAGGAAUAUUCUAUCUUCUUUAUAAGAGCUUUGAUACAUGCAAAAUAUUGGAAAACAACGUCCGAACAUAUAAUUUCCCCCCCCCCCCGUAAUAUAGCAAAAAUCACGAAAAGGCCCGAAAAAGUACAUUUAGUUCAAAAUUUGCAGUAGAAAAAAAAACAAUAGAAGAAUUUCAUUUUCCUUCCUCAGUCAUCGGAGAGCUCUCUUUGGGCUUUCCAAAAAGGUAUCACAUGCCAAGUUUGGCCUCACAGUCUAAAAGUUAUAGAGUCAUACAUUUUUAACAAAACAAAAUAGAGAAAAACCGAAAAAAGAGGGAUGCAACACGAGGACUUUCCCGGAGGUAAUCUAUCCUAGUACUACUCUCGCCCAAGCACCCUUAACUGCGGAGUUCUGAUGGGAUCCGGUGCAGUAGUGCUGGUAUGAUCGCAUGUGUUACUACAUGCAAUGUAAUCGUAUCUAUUCUUUUUUAAAGACUUUAUGAUCCAUUUGCCGUGAGUCCCACCAGCUAUGUAGGAAUAUUCUAUCUUCUUUAUAAGAGCUUUGAUACAUGCAAAAUACUGGAAAACAAUGUCCGAACAUAUAAUUUUCCCCACGUAAUAUAGCAAAGAUCACGAAAAGGCCCGAAAAAGUACAUUUAGUUCAAAAUUUGGAGUAGAAAAAAAAACAAUAGAAGAAUUUCAUUUUCCUUCCCUAGUCAUCGGAGAGCUCUCUUUGGGCUUUCCAAAAAGGUAUCACAUGCCAAGUUUGGCCUCACAGUCUAAAAGUUAUAGAGUCAUACAUUUUUAACAAAACAAAAUAGAGAAAAACCGAAAAAAAAGAGGGAUGCAACACGAGGACUUUCUGGGAGGUAAUCUAUCCUAGUACUACUCUCGCCCAAGCACCCUUAACUGCGGAGUUCUGAUGGGAUCCGGUGCAGUAGUGCUGGUAUGAUCGCAUGUGUUACUACAUGCAAUGUAAUCGUAUCUAUUCUUUUUUAAAGACUUUAUGAUCCAUUUGCCGUGAGUCCCACCAGCUAUGUAGGAAUAUUCUAUCUUCUUUAUAAGAGCUUUGAUACAUGCAAAAUACUGGAAAACAAUGUCCGAACAUAUAAUUUUCCCCCCGUAAUAUAGCAAAGAUCACGAAAAGGCCCAGAAAAGUACAUUUAGUUCAAAAUUUGGAGUAGAAAAAAAAACAAUAGAAGAAUUCCAUUUUCCUUCCUCAAUCAUCGGAGAGCUCUCUUUGGGCUUUCCGAAAAGGUAUCUCAUGCCAAGUUUGGCCUCACGAACUAAAAGUUAUAGAGUCAUACAUUUUUAACAAAACAAAAUAGAGAAAAACCGAAAAAAGAGGGAUGCAACACAAGGACUUUCCGGGAGGUCACCCAUCCUAGUACUACUCUCGCCCAAGCACCCUUAACUGCGGAGUUCUGAUGGGAUCCAGUGCAUUAGUGCUGGUAUGAUCGCAUGUGUUACUACAUGCAAUGUAAUCGUAUCUAUUCUUUUUUAAAGAUUUUAUGAUCCAUUUGCCGUGGGUCCCACCAGCUAUGUAGGAAUACCCUAUCUUCUUUAUAAGAGCUUUGAUACAUACAAAAUAUUGGAUCACAAUGUCAGAACAUAUAAUUUUCCCCCCUUAAUAUAGCAAAGUUCACUAAAAGGCCCGAAAAAAUACAUUUAGUUCAAAAUUUGGAGUAGAAAAAAAAACAAUAGAAGAAUUUCAUUUUCCUUCCUCAGUCAUCGGAGAGCUCUCUUUGGGCUUUCCAAAAAGGUAUCACAUGCCAAGUUUGGCCUCACAGUCUAAAAGUUAUAGAGUCAUACAUUUUUAACAAAACAAAAUAGAGAAAAACCGAAAAAAGAGGGAUGCAACACGAGGACUUUCCCGGAGGUAAUCUAUCCUAGUACUACUCUCGCCCAAGCACCCUUAACUGCGGAGUUCUGAUGGGAUCCGGUGCAGUAGUGCUGGUAUGAUCGCAUGUGUUACUACAUGCAAUGUAAUCGUAUCUAUUCUUUUUUAAAGACUUUAUGAUCCAUUUGCCGUGAGUCCCACCAGCUAUGUAGGAAUAUUCUAUCUUCUUUAUAAGAGCUUUGAUACAUGCAAAAUACUGGAAAACAAUGUCCGAACAUAUAAUUUUCCCCACGUAAUAUAGCAAAGAUCACGAAAAGGCCCGAAAAAGUACAUUUAGUUCAAAAUUUGGAGUAGAAAAAAAAACAAUAGAAGAAUUUCAUUUUCCUUCCUCAGUCAUCGGAGAGCUCUCUUUGGGCUUUCCAAAAAGGUAUCACAUGCCAAGUUUGGCCUCACAGUCUAAAAGUUAUAGAGUCAUACAUUUUUAACAAAACAAAAUAGAGAAAAACCGAAAAAAAAGAGGGAUGCAACACGAGGACUUUCUGGGAGGUAAUCUAUCCUAGUACUACUCUCGCCCAAGCACCCUUAACUGCGGAGUUCUGAUGGGAUCCGGUGCAGUAGUGCUGGUAUGAUCGCAUGUGUUACUACAUGCAAUGUAAUCGUAUCUAUUCUUUUUUAAAGACUUUAUGAUCCAUUUGCCGUGAGUCCCACCAGCUAUGUAGGAAUAUUCUAUCUUCUUUAUAAGAUCUUUGAUACAUGCAAAAUACUGGAAAACAAUGUCCGAACAUAUAAUUUUCCCCCCGUAAUAUAGCAAAGAUCACGAAAAGGCCCAGAAAAGUACAUUUAGUUCAAAAUUUGGAGUAGAAAAAAAAACAAUAGAAGAAUUCCAUUUUCCUUCCUCAAUCAUCGGAGAGCUCUCUUUGGGCUUUCCGAAAAGGUAUCUCAUGCCAAGUUUGGCCUCACGAACUAAAAGUUAUAGAGUCAUACAUUUUUAACAAAACAAAAUAGAGAAAAACCGAAAAAAGAGGGAUGCAACACAAGGACUUUCCGGGAGGUCACCCAUCCUAGUACUACUCUCGCCCAAGCACCCUUAACUGCGGAGUUCUGAUGGGAUCCAGUGCAUUAGUGCUGGUAUGAUCGCAUGUGUUACUACAUGCAAUGUAAUCGUAUCUAUUCUUUUUUAAAGAUUUUAUGAUCCAUUUGCCGUGGGUCCCACCAGCUAUGUAGGAAUACCCUAUCUUCUUUAUAAGAGCUUUGAUACAUACAAAAUAUUGGAUCACAAUGUCAGAACAUAUAAUUUUCCCCCCUUAAUAUAGCAAAGUUCACUAAAAGGCCCGAAAAAAUACAUUUAGUUCAAAAUUUGGAGUAGAAAAAAAAACAAUAGAAGAAUUUCAUUUUCCUUCCUCAGUCAUCGGAGAGCUCUCUUUGGGCUUUCCAAAAAGGUAUCACAUGCCAAGUUUGGCCUCACAGUCUAAAAGUUAUAGAGUCAUACAUUUUUAACAAAACAAAAUAGAGAAAAACCGAAAAAAAGAGGGAUGCAACACGAGGACUUUCUGGGAGGUAAUCUAUCCUAGUACUACUCUCGCCCAAGCACCCUUAACUGCGGAGUUCUGAUGGGAUCCGGUGCAGUAGUGCUGGUAUGAUCGCAUGUGUUACUACAUGCAAUGUAAUCGUAUCUAUUCUUUUUUAAAGACUUUAUGAUCCAUUUGCCGUGAGUCCCACCAGCUAUGUAGGAAUAUUCUAUCUUCUUUAUAAGAGCUUUGAUACAUGCAAAAUACUGGAAAACAAUGUCCGAACAUAUAAUUUUCCCCCCGUAAUAUAGCAAAGAUCACGAAAAGGCCCGAAAAAGUACAUUUAGUUCAAAAUUUGGAGUAGAAAAAAAAACAAUAGAAGAAUUCCAUUUUCCUUCCUCAAUCAUCGGAGAGCUCUCUUUGGGCUUUCCGAAAAGGUAUCUCAUGCCAAGUUUGGCCUCACGAACUAAAAGUUAUAGAGUCAUACAUUUUUAACAAAACAAAAUAGAGAAAAACCGAAAAAAGAGGGAUGCAACACAAGGACUUUCCGGGAGGUCACCCAUCCUAGUACUACUCUCGCCCAAGCACCCUUAACUGCGGAGUUCUGAUGGGAUCCAGUGCAUUAGUGCUGGUAUGAUCGCAUGUGUUACUACAUGCAAUGUAAUCGUAUCUAUUCUUUUUUAAAGAUUUUAUGAUCCAUUUGCCGUGGGUCCCACCAGCUAUGUAGGAAUACCCUAUCUUCUUUAUAAGAGCUUUGAUACAUACAAAAUAUUGGAUCACAAUGUCAGAACAUAUAAUUUUCCCCCCUUAAUAUAGCAAAGUUCACUAAAAGGCCCGAAAAAAUACAUUUAGUUCAAAAUUUGGAGUAGAAAAAAAAACAAUAGAAGAAUUUCAUUUUCCUUCCUCAGUCAUCGGAGAGCUCUCUUUGGGCUUUCCAAAAAGGUAUCACAUGCCAAGUUUGGCCUCACAGUCUAAAAGUUAUAGAGUCAUACAUUUUUAACAAAACAAAAUAGAGAAAAACCGAAAAAAAGAGGGAUGCAACACGAGGACUUUCUGGGAGGUAAUCUAUCCUAGUACUACUCUCGCCCAAGCACCCUUAACUGCGGAGUUCUGAUGGGAUCCGGUGCAGUAGUGCUGGUAUGAUCGCAUGUGUUACUACAUGCAAUGUAAUCGUAUCUAUUCUUUUUUAAAGACUUUAUGAUCCAUUUGCCGUGAGUCCCACCAGCUAUGUAGGAAUAUUCUAUCUUCUUUAUAAGAGCUUUGAUACAUGCAAAAUACUGGAAAACAAUGUCCGAACAUAUAAUUUUCCCCCCGUAAUAUAGCAAAGAUCACGAAAAGGCCCGAAAAAGUACAUUUAGUUCAAAAUUUGGAGUAGAAAAAAAAACAAUAGAAGAAUUCCAUUUUCCUUCCUCAAUCAUCGGAGAGCUCUCUUUGGGCUUUCCGAAAAGGUAUCUCAUGCCAAGUUUGGCCUCACGAACUAAAAGUUAUAGAGUCAUACAUUUUUAACAAAACAAAAUAGAGAAAAACCGAAAAAAGAGGGAUGCAACACAAGGACUUUCCGGGAGGUCACCCAUCCUAGUACUACUCUCGCCCAAGCACCCUUAACUGCGGAGUUCUGAUGGGAUCCGGUGCAUUAGUGCUGGUAUGAUCGCCCGUGUUACUACAUGCAAUGCAAUCGUAUCUAUUCUUUUUUAAAGAUUUUAUGAUCCAUUUGCCGUGGGUCCCACCAGCUAUGUAGGAAUACCCUAUCUUCUUUAUAAGAGGUUUGAUACAUACAAAAUAUUGGAUCACAAUGUCAGAACAUAUAAUUUUCCCCCCUUAAUAUAGCAAAGAUCACUAAAAGGCCCGAAAAAAUACAUUUAGUUCAAAAUUUGGAGUAGAAAAAAAAACAAUAGAAGAAUUCCAUUUUCCUUCCUCAGUUAUCGGAGAACUCUCUUUGGGCUUUCCGAAAAGGUAUCACAUGCCAAGUUUGGCCUCACGGUCUAAAAGAUAUAGAGUCAUACAUUAUUAACAAAACAAAAUAGAGAAAAACCGAAAAAAAGAAGGAUGCAACACGAGGACUUUGCGGGAGGUAAUCUAUCCUAGUACUACUCUCGCCCAAGCACCCUUAACUGCGGAGUUCUGAUGGGAUCCGGUGCAUUAGUGCUGGUAUGAUCGCAUGUGUUACUACAUGCAAUGUAAUCGUAUCUAUUCUUUUUUAAAGACUUUAUGAUCCAUUUGCCGUGGGUCCNNNNNNNNNNNNNNNNNNNNNNNNNNNNNNNNNNNNNNNNNNNNNNNNNNACAUGCCAAGUUUGGCCUUACGGUCUAAAAGUUAUAGAGUAAUACANUUUUUAACAAAAAAAAAAGAAAAAAACCGAAAACAAAGAGGGAUGCAACACGAAGACUUUCCUGGAGGUCACCCAUCCUAGUACUACUCUCGCCCAAGCACACUUAACUGCGGUGUUCUGAUAGGAUCAAGUGCAUUAGUGCUGGUAUGAUCGCAUCAGUUACUACAUGCAAUGCAAUCAUAUAUAUUCUUUUUUGAAGACUUUAUGAUCCAUUUGCCGUAGGUCCCACCAGCUAUGUAGGAAUACCCUAUCUCGUUUAUAAGAGCUUUGAUACAUGCAAAAUAUUCGAAAACAAUGUCCGAACAUAUAAUUUUUGUCCCGUAAUAUAGCAAAGAUCGCGAAAAGGCCAUAAAAAAUACAUUUCGGUCAAAAUUUGGAGUAGAAAAAAAACCCUUCCUCAUUCAUUGGACAGCUCUCUUUGGGCUUUCCGAAAAGGUAUCACAUGCCAAGUUUGGCCUCACGGUCUAAACCUUAUAGACUCAUACAUUUUUCACAAAAAAAAGAAGAGAAAAACCAAAAAAAAGAGUGAUUAAACACGAGGACUUUCCUGGAGGUCACCCAUCCUAGUACUACUCUCGCCCAAGCACGCUUAACUGCGAAGUUCUGAUGGGAUCUGGUGCAUUAGUGCUGGUAUGAUCGCAUCUGUUACUACAUGCAAUGCAAUCGUAUUUAUUCUUUUUUGAAGAUUUUAUGAUUCAUUUACCGUGGGUCCCACCAGCUAUGUAGGAAUAACCUAUCUUAUUUAUAAAAGCUUUGAUACAUGCAAAAUAUUAGAAAACAAUGUCCGAACAUAUAAUGUUCGCCCCAAAAUAUAGCAAAGACCACAAAAAUGCCAUAAAAAGUACAUUAAGGUCAAAAUUUGGAGUAGGAAAAAAAUCAAUAGGAGAAUUCCAUUUUCCUUCCUUCAUUCAUCGGAGAGCUCUCUUUGGGCAUUCCAAAAAGGUAUCACAUGCCAAGUUUGGCCUCACGGUCUAAAAGUUAUAGAGUAAUACAUUUUUAACAAAAAAAAAAGAAAAAAACCGAAAACAAAGAGGGAUGCAACACGAAGACUUUCCUGGAGGUCACCCAUCCUAGUACUACUCUCGCCCAAGCACACUUAACUGCGGUGUUCUGAUAGGAUCAAGUGCAUUAGUGCUGGUAUGAUCGCAUCAGUUACUACAUGCAAUGCAAUCAUAUAUAUUCUUUUUUGAAGACUUUAUGAUCCAUUUGCCGUAGGUCCCACCAGCUAUGUAGGAAUACCCUAUCUCGUUUAUAAGAGCUUUGAUACAUGCAAAAUAUUCGAAAACAAUGUCCGAACAUAUAAUUUUUGUCCCGUAAUAUAGCAAAGAUCACGAAAAGGCCAGAAAAAAUACAUUUCGGUCAAAAUUUGGAGUAGAAAAAAAACCCUUCCUCAUUCAUUGGACAGCUCUUUUUGGGCUUUCCGAAAAGGUAUCACAUGCCAAGUUUGGCCUCACGGUCUAAACCUUAUAGACUCAUACAUUUUUCACAAAAAAAAGAAGAGAAAAACCAAAAAAAAGAGUGAUUAAACACGAGGACUUUCCUGGAGGUCACCCAUCCUAGUACUACUCUCGCCCAAGCACGCUUAACUGCGAAGUUCUGAUGGGAUCUGGUGCAUUAGUGCUGGUAUGAUCGCAUCUGUUACUACAUGCAAUGCAAUCGUAUCUAUUCUUUUUUGAAGAUUUUAUGAUUCAUUUACCGUGGGUCCCACCAGCUAUGUAGGAAUAACCUAUCUUAUUUAUAAAAGCUUUGAUACAUGCAAAAUAUUCGAAAACAAUGUCCGAACAUAUAAUGUUCGCCCCAAAAUAUAGCAAAGACCACAAAAAUGCCAUAAAAAGUACAUUAAGGUCAAAAUUUGGAGUAGGAAAAAAAUCAAUAGGAGAAUUCCAUUUUCCUUCCCUCAUUCAUCGGAGAGCUCUCUUUGGGCAUUCCAAAAAGGUAUCACAUGCCAAGUUUGGCCUCACGGUCUAAAAGUUAUAGAGUAAUACAUUUUUAACAAAAACAAAAGAAAAAAACCGAAAACAAAGAGGGAUGCAACACGAAGACUUUCCUGGAGGUCACCCAUCCUAGUACUACUCUCGCCCAAGUACACUUAACUGCGGUGUUCUGAUAGGAUCAAGUGCAUUAGUGCUGGUAUGAUCGCAUCAGUUACUACAUGCAAUGCAAUCAUAUAUAUUCUUUUUUGAAGACUUUAUGAUCCAUUUGCCGUAGGUCCCACCAGCUAUGUAGGAAUACCCUAUCUUGUUUAUAAGAGCUUUCAUACAUGCAAAAUAUUCAAAAACAAUGUCCGAACAUAUAAUUUUUGUCCCGUAAUAUAGCAAAGAUCACGAAAAGGCCAGAAAAAAUACAUUUCGGUCAAAAUUUGGAGUAGAAAAAAAACCCUUCCUCAUUCAUUGGACAGCUCUCUUUGGGCUUUCUGAAAAGGUAUCACAUGCCAAGUUUGGCCUCACGGUCUAAACCUUAUAGACUCAUACAUUUUUCACAAAAAAAAGAAGAGAAAAACCAAAAAAAAGAGUGAUUAAACACGAGGACUUUCCUGGAGGUCACCCAUCCUAGUACUACUCUCGCCCAAGCACGCUUCACUGCGAAGUUCUGAUGGGAUCUGGUGCAUUAGUGCUGGUAUGAUCGCAUCUGUUACUACAUGCAAUGCAAUCGUAUCUAUUCUUUUUUGAAGAUUUUAUGAUUCAUUUACCGUGGGUCCCACCAGAUAGGAAUAACCUAUCUUAUUUAUAAAAGCUUUGAUACAUGCAAAAUAUUCGAAAACAAUGUCCGAACAUAUAAUGUUCGCCCCAAAAUAUAGCAAAGACCACAAAAAUGCAAUAAAAAGUACAUUAAGGUCAAAAUUUGGAGUAGGAAAAAAAUCAAUAGGAGAAUUCCAUUUUCCUUCCCUCAUUUAUCGGAGAGCUCUCUUUGGGCAUUCCAAAAAGGUAUCACAUGCCAAGUUUGGCCUCACGGUCUAAAAGUUAUAGAGUAAUACAUUUUUAACAAAACAAAAAAGAAAAAAACCGAAAACAAAGAGGGAUGCAACACGAAGACUUUCCUGGAGGUCACCCAUCCUAGUACUACUCUCGCCCAAGCACACUUAACUGCGGUGUUCUGAUAGGAUCAAGUGCAUUAGUGCUGGUAUGAUCGCAUCAGUUACUACAUGCAAUGCAAUCAUAUAUAUUCUUUUUUGAAGACUUUAUGAUCCAUUUGCCGUAGGUCCCACCAGCUAUGUAGGAAUACCCUAUCUUGUUUAUAAGAGCUUUGAUACAUGCAAAAUAUACGAAAACAAUGUCCGAACAUAUAAUUUUUGUCCCGUAAUAUAGCAAAAAGGCCAGAAAAAAUACAUUUCGGUCAAAAUUUGGAGUAGAAAAAAAACCCUUCCUCAUUCAUUGGACAGCUCUCUUUGGGCUUUCCGAAAAGGUAUCACAUGCCAAGUUUGGCCUCACGGUCUAAACCUUAUAGGCUCAUACAUUUUUCACAAAAAAAAGAAAAGAAAAACCAAAAAAAAGAGUGAUUAAACACGAGGACUUUCCGGGAGGUCACCCAUCCUAGUACUACUCUCGCCGAAGCACGCUUAACUGCGAAGUUCUGAUGGGAUCUGGUGCAUUAGUGCUGGUAUGAUCGCAUCUGUUACUACAUGCAAUGCAAUCGUAUCUAUUCUUUUUUGAAGAUUUUAUGAUUCAUUUACCGUGGGUCCCACCAGCUAUGUAGGAAUAACCUAUCUUAUUUAUAAAAGCUUUGAUACAUGCAAAAUAUUCGAAAACAAUGUCCGAACAUAUAAUGUUCGCCCCAAAAUAUAGCAAAGACCACAAAAAUGCCAUAAAAAGUACAUUAAGGUCAAAAUUUGGAGUAGGAAAAAAAUCAAUAGGAGAAUUCCAUUUUCCUUCCCUCAUUCAUCGGAGAGCUCUCUUUGGGCAUUCCAAAAAGGUAUCACAUGCCAAGUUUGGCCUCACGGUCUAANAGUUAUAGAGUAAUACAUUUUUAACAAAAAAAAAAGAAAAAAACCGAAAACAAAGAGGGAUGCAACACGAAGACUUUCCUGGAGGUCACCCAUCCUAGUACUACUCUCGCCCAAGUACACUUAACUGCGGUGUUCUGAUAGGAUCAAGUGCAUUAGUGCUGGUAUGAUCGCAUCAGUUACUACAUGCAAUGCAAUCAUAUAUAUUCUUUUUUGAAGACUUUAUGAUCCAUUUGCCGUAGGUCCCACCAGCUAUGUAGGAAUACCCUAUCUUGUUUAUAAGAGCUUUGAUACAUGCAAAAUAUUCGAAAACAAUGUCCGAACAUAUAAUUUUUGUCCCGUAAUAUAGCAAAGAUCACGAAAAGGCCAGAAAAAAUACAUUUCGGUCAAAAUUUGGAGUAGAAAAAAAGCCCUUCCUCAUUCAUUGGACAGCUCUCUUUGGGCUUUCCGAAAAGGUAUCACAUGCCAAGUUUGGCCUCACGGUCUAAACCUUAUAGACUCAUACAUUUUUCACAAAAAAAAGAAGAGAAAAACCAAAAAAAAGAGUGAUUAAACACGAGGAUUUUCCUGGAGGUCACCCAUCCUAGUACUACUCUCGCCCAAGCACGCUUAACUGCGAANNNNNNNNNNNNNNNNNNNNNNNNNNNNNNNNNNNNNNNNNNNNNNNNNNGUGUUACUACAUGCAAUGUAAUCGUAUCUAUUCUUUUUUAAAGACUUUAUGAUCCAUUUGCCGUGGGUCCCACCAGCUAUGUAGGAAUAUCCUAUAUUCUUUAUAAGAGCUUUGAUACAUGCAAAAUAUUCGAAAACAAUGUCCGAACAUAUAAUUUCCCCCCCGUAAUAUAGCAAAGAUCACGAAAAGGCCCAAAAAAGUACAUUAAGUUUAAAAUUUGGAGUAGAAAAAAAACCAAUAGAAAAAUUCCAUUUUCCUUCCUCAGUCAUCGAAGAGCUCUCUUUGGGCUUUCUGAAAAGGUAUCACAUGCCAAGUUUGGCCUCACGGUCUAAAAGUUAUAGAGUCAUACAUUUUUAACAAAACAAAAAGAGAAAAACCGAAAAAAACAGGGAUGCAACACGAGGACUUUCCUGGAGGUCUCCCAUCCUAGUACUACUCUCGCCCAAGCACCCUUAACUGCGUAGUUCUGAUGGGAUCCGAUGCAUUAGUGCUGGUAUGAUCGCAUCUGUUACUACAUGCAAUGUAAUCGUAUCUAUUCUUUUUUAAAGACNUUUAUGAUCCAUUUGCCGUGGGUCCCACCAGCUAUGUAGGAAUACCCUAUCUUCUUAAUAAGAGCCUUGAUAAAUGCAAAAUAUUGGAAAACAAUGUCCGAACAUAUAAUGCCCCCCCCCCCGUAAUAUAGCAAAGAUCACGAAAAUGCCCAAAAAAGUACAUUUAGGUCAAAAUUUGAGUAGAAAAAAAAACAAUAGAAGAAUUCCAUUUUCCUUCCUCAUUUAUCGGAGAGCUCUCUUUGGGCUUUCCGAAAAGGUAUCACAUGACAAGUUUGGCCUCACGGUCUAAAAGAUAUAGAGUCAUACAUUAUUAACAAAACAAAAUAGAGAAAAACCGAAAAAAAAGAGGGAUGCAACGCGAGGACUUUCCGGGAGGUAAUCUAUCCUAGUACUACUCUCGCCCAAGCACCCUUACCUGCGGAGUUCUGAUGGGAUCCGGUGCAGUAGUGCUGGUAUGAUCGCAUGUGUUACUACAUGCAAUGCAAUCAUAUAUAUUCUUUUUUGAAGACUUUAUGAUCCAUUUGCCGUAGGUCCCACCAGCUAUGUAGGAAUACCCUAUCUUGUUUAUAAGAGCUUUGAUACAUGCAAAAUAUUCGAAAACAAUGUCCGAACAUAUAAUUUUUGUCCCGUAAUAUAGCAAAGAUCACGAAAAGGCCAGAAAAAAUACAUUUCGGUCAAAAUUUGGAGUAGAAAAAAACCCCUUCCUCAUUCAUUGGACAGCUCUCUUUGGGCUUUCCGAAAAGGUAUCACAUGCCAAGUUUGGUCUCACGGUUUAAAAGUUAUAGAGUCAUACAUUUUUCACAAAAAAAAGAAGAGAAAAAACAAAAAAAAGAGUGAUGAAACACGAGGACUUUCCUAGAGGUCACCCAUCCUAGUACUACUCUCGCCCAAGCACGCGUAACUGCGAAGUUCUGAUGGGAUCUGGUGCAUUAGUGCUGGUAUGAUCGCAUCUGUUACUACAUGCAAUGCAAUCGUAUCUAUUCUUUUUUGAAGAUUUUAUGAUCCAUUUGCAGUGGGUCCCACCAGCUAUGUAGGAAUACCCUAUCUUGUUUAUAAGAGCUUUGAUACAUGCAAAAUCUUCGAAAACAAUGUCCGAACAUAUAAUUUUCGCCCCGUAAUAUAGCAAAGAUCACGAAAAUGCCAAAAUAGUACAUUAAGGUCAAAAUUUGGAGUAGGAAAAAAAACCCUUCAUCAUUCAUUGGAGAGCUCUCUCUGGGCUUUCCGAAAAGGUAUCACAUGCCAAGUUUGGCCUCACGGUCUAAAAGUUAUAAAGUCAUACAUUUUUAACAAAAAAAAAAGAGAAAAACCGAAAAAAAGAGUUAUGUAACACGAGGACUUUCCUGGAGGUCACCCGUCCUAGUACUACUCUCGCCCAAACACGCUUAACUGUGGUGUUCUGAUAGGAUCAAGUGCAUUAGUGCUGGUAUGAUCGCAUCAGUUACUACAUGCAAUGCAAUCAUAUAUAUUCUUUUUUGAAAACUUUAUGAUCCAUUUGCCGUAGGUCCCACCAGCUAUGUCGGAAUACCCUAUCUUGUUUAUAAGAGCUUUGAUACAUGCAAAAUAUUCGAAAACAAUGUCCGAACAUAUAAUUUUUGUCCCGUAAUAUAGCAAAGAUCACGAAAAGGCCAAAAAAAAUACAUUUCGGUCAAAAUUUGGAGUAGAAAAAAACCCCUUCCUCAUUCAUUCGACAACUCUCUUUGGGCUUUCCGAAAAGGUAUCACAUGCCAAGUUUGGUCUCACGGUCUAAAAGUUAUAGAGUCAUACAUUUUUCACAAAAAAAAGAAGAGAAAAAACCAAAAAAAGAGUGAUGAAACACGAGGACUUUCCUGGAGGUCACUCAUGCUAGUACUACUCUCGCCCAAGCACGCUUAACUGCGAAGUUCUGAUGGGAUCUGGUGCAUUGGUGAUGGUAUGAUCGCAUCUGUUACUACAUGCAAUGCAAUCGUAUCUAUUUUUUUUUGAAGAUUUUAUGAUCCAUUUGCAGUGUGUCCCACCAGCUAUGUAGGAAUACCCUAUCUUGUUUAUAAGAGCUUUGAUACAUGCAAAAUAUUCGAAAACAAUGUCCGAACAUAUAAUUUUUGUCCCGUAAUAUAGCAAAGAUCACGAAAAGACCAGAAAAAAUACAUUUCGGUCAAAAUUUGGAGUAGAAAAAAAACCCUUCCUCAUUCAUUGGACAGCUCUCUUUGGGCUUUCCGAAAAGGUAUCACAUGCCAAGUUUGGUCUCACGGUUUAAAAGUUAUAGAGUCAUACAUUUUUCACAAAAAAAAGAAGAGAAAAAACAAAAAAAAGAGUGAUGAACCACGAGGACUUUCCUGGAGGUCACCCAUCCUAGUACUACUCUCGCCCAAGCACGCGUAACUGCGAAGUUCUGAUGGGAUCUGGUGCAUUAGUGCUGGUAUGAUCACAUCUGUUACUACAUGCAAUGCAAUCGUAUCUAUUCUUUUUUGAAGAUUUUAUGAUCCAUUUGCAGUGGGUCCCACCAGCUAUGUAGGAAUACCCUAUCUUGUUUAUAAGAGCUUUGAUACAUGCAAAAUCUUCGAAAACAAUGUCCGAACAUAUAAUUUUCGCCCCGUAAUAUAGCAAAGAUCACGAAAAUGCCAAAAUAGUACAUUUAGGUCAAAAUUUGGAGUAGGAAAAAAAAACCUUCAUCAUUCAUUGGAUAGCUCUCUCUGGGCUUUUCGAAAAGGUAUCACAUGCCAAGUUUGGCCUCACGGUCUAAAAGUUAUAAAGUCAUACAUUUUUAACAAAAAAAAAAGAGAAAAACCGAAAAAAAGAGUUAUGAACCACGAGGACUUUCCUGGAGGUCACCCGUCCUAGUACUACUCUCGCCCAAACACGCUUAACUGCGGUGUUCUGAUAGGAUCAAGUGCAUUAGUGCUGGUAUGAUCGCAUCAGUUACUACAUGCAAUGCAAUCAUAUAUAUUCUUUUUUGAAGACUUUAUGAUCCAUUUGCCGUAGGUCCCACCAGCUAUGUAGGAAUACCCUAUCUUGUUUAUAAGAGCUUUGAUACAUGCAAAAUAUUCGAAAACAAUGUCCGAACAUAUAAUUUUUGUCCCGUAAUAUAGCAAAGAUCACGAAAAGGCCAAAAAAAAUACAUUUCGGUCAAAAUUUGGAGUAGAAAAAAACCCCUUCCUCAUUCAUUGGACAGCUCUCUUUGGGCUUUCCGAAAAGGUAUCACAUGCCAAGUUUGGUCUCACGGUCUAAAAGUUAUAGAGUCAUACAUUUUUCAGAAAAAAAAGAAGAGAAAAAACCAAAAAAAGAGUGAUGAAACACGAGGACUUUCUUGGAGGCCACCCAUCCUAGUACUACUCUCGCCCAAGCACGCUUAACUGCGAAGUUCUGAUGGGAUCUGGUGCAUUAGUGAUGGUAUGAUCGCAUCUGUUACUACAUGCAAUGCAAUCGUAUCUAUUCUUUUUUGAAGAUUUUAUGAUCCAUUUGCAGUGGGUCCCACCAGCUAUGUAGGAAUACCCUAUCUUGUUUAUAAGAGCUUUGAUACAUGCAAAAUAUUCGAAAACAAUGUCCGAACAUAUAAUUUUCGCCCCGUAAUAUAGCAAAGAUCACGAAAAUGCCGAAAUAGUACAUUAAGGUCAAAAUUUGGAGUAGGAAAAAAAAACCUUCCUCAUUCAUUGGAGAGCUCUCUUUGGGUUUUCCGAAAAGGUAUCACAUGCCAAGUUUGGCCUCACGGUCUAAAAGUUAUAAAGUCAUACAUUUUUAACAAAAAAAAAAAGAGAAAAACCGAAAAAAAGAGUUAUGCAACACGAGGACUUUCCUGGAGGUCACCCGUCCUAGUACUACUCUCGCCCAAACACGCUUAACUACGGUGUUCUGAUAGGAUCAAGUGCAUUAGUGCUGGUAUGAUCGCAUCAGUUACUACAUGCAAUGCAAUCAUAUAUAUUCUUUUUUGAAGACUUCAUGAUCCAUUUGCCGUAGGUCCCACCAGCUAUGUAGGAAUACCCUAUCUUGUUUAUAAGAGCUUUGAUACAUGCAAAAUAUUCGAAAACAAUGUCCGAACAUAUAAUUUUUGUCCCGUAAUAUAGCAAAGAUCACGAAAAGGCCAGAAAAAAUAAAUUUCGGUCAAAAUUUAGAGUAGAAAAAAACCCCUUCCUCAUUCAUUGGACAACUCUCUUUGGGCUUUCCGAAAAGGUAUCACAUGCCAAGUUUGGCCUCACGGUCUAAAAGUUAUAGAGUCAUACAUUUUUCACAAAAAAAAGAAGAGAAAAACCAAAAAAAAGAGUGAUGAAACACGAGGACUUUCCUGGAGGUCACCCAUCCUAGUACUACUCUCGCCCAAGCACGCUUAACGGCGGUGUUCUGAUAGGAUCAAUUACAUUUGUGCUGGUAUGAUCGCAUCAGUUACUACAUGCAAUGCGAUCAUAUAUAUUCUUUUUUGAAGACUUUACAAUCCAUUUGUCGUAGGUCCCACCAGCUAUGUAGGAAUCCCCUAUCUUGUUUAUAAGAGCUUUGAUACAUGCAAAAUAUUCGAAAACAAUGUUCGAACAUAUAAUUUUUCGCCCCGUAAUAUAGCAAAGAUCACGAAAAGGCCAGAAAAAGUACAUUUAGGUCAAAAUUUGGAGUAGAAAAAACCCCCCCUUCCUCAUUCAUUGGAGAGCUCUCUUUGGGCUUUCCGGAAAGGUAUCACAUGCCAAGUUUGGCCUCACGGUCUAAACCUUAUAGACUCAUACAUUUUUAACAAAAAAAAGAAGAGAAAAAACGAAAAAAAGAAGGAUACAACACGAGGACUUUCCGAGAGGUUACCCAUCUUCGUACUACUCUCGCACAAGUACGCUUAACUGCGGAGUUCUGAUGGGAUCUGGUGCAUUAGUGCUGGUAUGAUCGCAUCUGUUAUUACAUGCAAUGCAAUCGUAUCUAUUCUUUUUUCAAGACUUUAUGAUCCAUUUGCCGUGGGUCCCACCAGCUACGUAGGAAUACCCUAUCUUGUUUAUAAGAGCUUUGAUACAUGCAAAAUAUUCGAAAACAAUGUCCGAACAUAUAAUUUUCGUCCCGUAAUAUAGCAAAGAUCACAAAAAGGCCAGAAAGAGUACAUUUACGUCAAAAUUUGGAUAGAAAAAAAACAAAUAGAAGAAUUCCAUUUUGACUUCCUCAUUCAUCGGAAAGCUCUCUUUGGGCUUUCCGAAAAGGUAUCACAUGCCAAGUUUGGAAUCACGGUUUAAAAGUUAUAGAGUCAUACAUUUUUAACAAAAAAUAAAGAGAAAACCCGAAAAAUGAGGGAUGCAACACGAGGACUUUUCGGGAGGUCACCCAUCGUAGUACUACUCUCGCCCAAGCACGCUUAACUGUAGAGUUCUGAUGGGAUCCGGUUCAUUAUUGCUGGUAUGAUCGCAUCCGUUACUACAUGCAAUGCAAUCGUAUCUAUUCUUUUUUGAAGACUUUAUGAUCCAUUUGCCGUGGGUCCCACCAGCUAUGUUGGAAUACCCUAUCUUGUUUAUAAGAGCUUUGUUACAUGCAAAAUAUUCGAAAACAAUGUCCGAACAUAUAAUAUUUGCCCCGUAAUAUAGCAAAGAUCACGAAAAGGCCAGAAAACCUAUAUUAAGUUCAAAAUUUGGAGUAGAAAAAAACCAAUAGAAGAAUUCCAUUUUCCUUCCUCACUCAUCGGAGAGCUCUCUUUGGGGCUUUCCGAAAAGGUAUCACAUGCAAAGUUUGGCCUCACAGGCUAAAAGUUAUAGAGUCGUACAUUUUUAACAAAAAAAAAAAGAGAAAAGCCGAAAAAAAGAAGGAUGCAACACAAGGACUUUCCGGGAGGUCAGCCAUCCUAAUAUUACUCUCGCCCAAGCACGCUUAACUGUAGAGUUCUGAUGGGAUCCGGUGCAUUAGUGCUGGUAUGAUCGCAUCUGUUACUACAUGCAAUGCAAUCGUAUCUAUUCUUUUUUUAAGACUUUAUGAUCCAUUUACCGUGGGUCCCACCAGCUACGUAGGAAUAACCUAUCUUAUUUAUAAGAGCUUUGAUACAUGCAAAAUAUUCGAAAACAAUGUCCGAACAUAUAAUUUUCGUCCCGUAAUAUAGCAAAGAUCACAAAAAGGCCAGAAAGAGUACAUUAAGGUCAAAAUUUUGGAGUAGAAAAAAAAACCCUUCCUCAUUCAUUAAAGAGCUCUCUUUGGCAUUUCCGAAAAGGUGUCACAUGCCAAGUUCGGCCUCACGGUCUAAAAGUUAUAGAGUCAUACAUUGUUAACAAAAAAAAAGAGAAAAACCGAUUAAAAGAGUUAUGCAACACAAGGACUUUCCUGGAGGUCACCCGUCCUAGUACUACUCUCGCCCAAGCACGCUUAAAUGCGGAGUUCUGAUGGGAUCCGGUCCAUGAGUGGUGGUAUGAUCACAUCCGUUACUACAUGCAAUGCAAUCGUAUCUAUUAUUUUUUGAAGACUUUAUGAUCCAUUUGCCGUGGGUCCCACCAGCUAUGUAGGAAUACCCUAUCUUGUUUAUAAGAGCUUUGAUACAUCCAAAAUAUUCGAAAACAAUGUUGGAACGUAUAAGUUUCGCUCAGUAAUAUAGCAAAGAUCACGAAAAGGCCACAAAAAGUACAUUAAGGUAAAAAUUUAGAGUAGGAAAAAAAAACAAUAGGAGAAUUCCAUGUUCCUUCCUCAAUCAUCGGAGAGCUCUCUUUGGGCUUUCCAAAAAGGUAUCACAUGCCAAGUUUGGCCUCACGGUCUAAAAGUUAUAGAGUCAUACAUUUUUAACAAAAAAAAAUAGAGAAAAACCAAAAAAAAGAGGGAUGCAACACGAAGACUUUCCUGGAGGUCACCCAUCCUAGUACUACUCUCGCCCAAGCACGCUUAACUGCGGUGUUCUGAUAGGAUCAAGUGCAUUAGUGCUGGUAGGAUCGCAUUCGUUACUACAUGCAAUGCAAUUAUAUAUAUUCUUUUUUGAAGACUUUAUGAUCCAUUUGCGGUAGGUCCCACCAGCUAUGUAGGAAUACCCUAUCUUGCUUAUAAGAGUUUUGAUACAUGCAAAAAUAUUCGAAAACAAUGUCCGAACAUAUAAUUUUUGUCCCGUAAUAUAACAAAGAUCACGAAAAGGCCAAAAAUAGUACAUUUCGGUCAAAACAUGGAGCAGAAAAAAAACCCCUUCCUCAUUCAUCGGAGAGCUCUCAUUGGGCUUUCCGAAAAGAUAUCACAUGCAAAGUUUGGCCUCACGGUUUAAAAGUUAUAGAGUCAAAUAUUUUUAACAAAAAAAAGAGAGAAAAACCGAAAACAAAGAGGGAUGCAACACGAGGACUUUCCGGAAGGUCACCCAUCCUAGUACUACUCUAGCCCAAGCACGCUUAACCGCGGAGUUCUGAUAGGAUCCGGUGCAUUAGUGCUGGUAUGAUCGCAUCAGUUACUACAUGCAAUGCAAUCAUAUAUAUUUUUUUUGAAGACUUUAUGAUCCAUUUGCCGUGGGUCCCACCAGCUAUGUAGGAAUACCUAUCUUGUUUAUAAGAGCUUUGAUACAUGCAAAAUAUUUGAAAACAAUGUCCGAACGUAUAAUCUUCGUCCCGUAAUAUAGCAAAGAUCACGAAAAGGCCAGAAAAAGUACAUUAAGGUCAAAAUUUUGACUAGAAAAAAAAAACAAUAGAAAAAUUCCAUUGUCCUUCCUCAUUCAUCGGAGAGUUCUCUUUGGGCUUUCCGAAAAGGUAUCACAUGCCAAGUUUGGCCUCACGGUCUAAAACUUAUAGAAUCAUACAUUCUUAACAAAAAAAAAAAAAAAACCGAAAAAAAGAAGAAUGCAACACAAGGACUUUCCAGGAGGUCAACCAUCCUAGUAGUACUCUCGCCCAAUCACGCUUAACUGCAGAGUUCUGAUGGGAUCCGGUGCAUUAGUGCUGGUAUGAUCGCAUC
rnacentral:lncRNA from 1 species